GAGAGAGAGAGUGAGGAGAGUGGAGGAGGGUUGGCAUGUGAUGUUGUGCACUUCGGUGAGGGUGGUGAGGAGUGUUAGCGUAAGGGGGAUUCUGGGUUGGGGGUGUGCUUGGGUGGGGAAGACGAACUGGGUUUUGGCUUUUUUAUUUAUCUUAAUUAAUUAUUUUAAAAUUUUUAUUAAGUAUUUAGCCACGUUACACAAAUGUGGCAGCUACAUUAGCACAAAUGGGGACCUCUUAUUUGCCACAUCAUCACUUAACGGUUUACUUAACAAAUUUUCUAAUGGAUGUAUGAAAUUGAAAUAAAAUAGUACUUGAGGUGUGAAAGUGAAAUGUUUUAAAGAUGUUGUAAGGAAUUAAAAUUGACCCCAAACCUGAGAGGGUAAAAUGUAAUUUACCCUUGAUAAUUUAAUAACUGAUAAAUCAAUAAUGUGAACUCAAAGUUAAGAUGUUGAAGAUGCUUUUGCAUUUUUUUUUAGAAUUUUCUGAAAGGAAUUAUUAUUAGCACUCCAAAAGUCUCAUUCGAUGCUCCUCAUAAGUGUACUUUUAUUUCUAAUUAUAGAAAGAUUGAAGUGCAAAAUGAGAUUUUUGGAGUGACAAUAAUAAUUCCCUUUCUAAAAAGCCUAUUUUUCAUAACAAAGUCGCAUAAGAAGGUGUUCUAUCAAAACUAAGUUGUGCAACAAGGAUGAAGAAUUGAUGAAUUUAUCAAAUUUUUACUUAAUAUGACUACAGUGCAAUGAAAAUGUUGCUUAUUUUUUACUGAAAGGUCACAAGUCCAAAUCGUAGAAACAGCAUCUUUGCAAAACAAAAGUAAGCUGUAUAUGAUAAACGUUCCCAUUUUCCUUUUCACAUAAUUCAAAUGGUUGUAUUCCCACUGGUCCUGCAAAAAACGAAAAUCGAACCGUCAAUAUUGUUAGAAGAUUCACAGAAAACCUCCACAAUCAUCUAGUCUGGGACCAAGGUACAAUUAUCUUCUCUCCUCUUCUAUGUUUUGCGGGGGAGACGAUGUUGGGUUUCGUUCGAUCGAAUAUAUGCACAAAAAAAGAUACCAUACACACGCAUGUAUGUGUUUCAGAAAUUAAGAGAGAAAAAAAAAAUGCCAUUUUAGUUUGUAUAAAAUUUGUGAUACGUUUACGUAAGGCUAAUCAGAAUAAAAAUACGAAACUAAAUUUCGAUUGGAGUACUCCAGUGUUUACUAAAUAUUGGGAAUUAAAAAUUUUGUUCAAUCAAUAAAACACAGGUAAAAAAUAAUUAAAUUUAAAGUUUUCUCAUGAAAUUAAAAUAAAAGUUUUACCAAAAAAAUGAAUCAAAAUAAAAGAAUUAGCAUAUAAAAUAGAUUACUAGAAUAGGAGCAUUUUAGUAAACAAAUUGAUUCAUUCCGAUUGACAUGAAUUACUAAAUAACUUUAUAUAGUUCAAUAUUGUUUCUAAAAAUUUAAAUAAACAAUUUUAACAAAAAUCUGAUUCCAAUUUCUCUUUAUAUACGAAUUAAUAAAUGAGCCAGAUUCUUAUUGUAUUAGUAUAAAACUAAUCAUUAAGGAGACAGCGACUAUUAAAAUGUUAUUAGACUGUUGAAAGGACUAAAAUACCGAGAAAACAAAACAAACCAAGGAUUGGCGGCCCAAAAGCCGAAAGCCUUUUAAAAGCAAAAUAAUAAAAUCAGUCCUUUAUUGUCAUUGAUUGAGAAGCAAACAAGGAAUGCAAAUCAUCAACAAAAAAGGACAGCCAAUAUUUACACAACCCUAGACUCUACACUCUAAUUUCUACACCCAUCUGAAACACGAAGUUGGGAUUUUCAGCCCAUUAUCUUUGAAUAUAUACAUACAUAUAUACAUAUAUAUAUAUAUACACACACACACGCACAUUAUAUAUAAUAUGUCCAUCAAUAUCAACUUCCAAGCCUCAAUAAUAUUCCGAGAAUCUGAGGACCCCCGCCGUUCUUUUGUAGGUCAAAUUGUAUAAAACCAAAGAUCCGUCUCUAUUAUCUGCUUCUACUCCCCCUAUUGAGCAGUACUGCAUUCAGAGGUAUCUCUCUCUAUCUGGAUUCAUUAUUUCAUUGUUCAAGUUUCGAUUUUUAUGUGUUGAAAUCCAUAAAUCCGAUGUCUUUUCGAUUACCCAGAUCCUGAAAUCGAGGGAGAGUUAGUGUUUUCAAUGUUAUCUCAUUUGGGUUCUGUUGGAUUGGAUUGGAUUACAUGUUUUGGAUUUUCCUCUGUUUUUUUCUGCACUUUUUAGGUGAAGUUGCUUGAUGAGUCUCGUGAUUUUUGUUGGUUGUGUUAAUGCUCACGUUGCCCAUGAAUAUAAAGUUUUCUUGCUUGCAAGUUGGGUUUUUGAAAGAUCAGCUUCCAUAAUUUAUAUGAUUUUUAUGUUCUUUGAUUAAGGUACGCAUUCUCUGUUGAUUGCUUUUAUCUGCUUGCUUAAGAUUGGUGUCCUUUGUUUUGCUUCUCACUGAAAGUUUAGGAUUUUGUUCUAAUUUUUUUUAGUUUAAGGACUUUGUUGACAGAGGAUUGCUCAAUCAUACCCUCUCCUCUAUAUUGUUUCAUGUUUACCUCAUGAUUUUUUUUUUCAGUUUAGUCUUAUGUAUAAUGUAUCUGAAUCGAAUUUUCGUGAUGAGGCGGUAGCUGUACUGUGUUUUUCUUCAACUAAGUAGGUAGUGGUUAUUGUAUAAGCAAUAAUGUUGCAGUGAUGUAUAUUGUUUAUGCUUCUACGAAUCAUACCAUAUGUUUGUUGUCGAAAGGGUCACGGUGCUUGACGUACAUGAAGGAGCACUGCCUAAAAUGCUUCUACACAGAAAAAUACUAAAUACAAUUUUCAGUACUUUCCUCCCUUCAAUUGUUUGUGGCUUGAUUCUUGUUGCAAAUUUUUGGUUGUAAACUCCUUGCACUUUUGGCGUAUGGGCUAAUUUUCGGAUUUGAAGUGCAGUACAUGUUGUCUUUCUCCCACUGUUAUUGUUCUCAAGCCUUUUUUUUUUAUUAAUUAGCAUGUGAUUUGUAUGGUUAUAUCUAACAAAGAUUUACAGCAUUUGCUUUAUAAAAUUGACCAAGGCCUCGUCUCUUUACAUGUCUUGUUGCCUUUCAGAUGGAAGCUCAAAAUUCUGGGAAUUCGCAUAUGAUUGAAGUAUGUGGUGAUGUGCAAGAUAUGGAUACGAGCUUGGGUGGGAGAAAAAUUUGUGGAGAUGGACCGUGCGGAUUUUCAGAUGCUAAAACCAGUUCCAAAGAUGCACAGGAACGGUCAGCGUCCAUGCGGAAGCUUUUGAUAGCGGUUAUCCUGUGUGUCAUUUUCAUGAGUGUGGAGGUUGUUGGGGGUAUCAAAGCCAACAGUCUUGCAAUUCUCACUGAUGCGGCUCAUUUAUUGUCAGAUGUUGCUGCAUUUGCAAUUUCUUUAUUCUCACUUUGGGCAUCAGGAUGGGAGGCGACUCCUCGUCAGUCUUACGGUUUCUUCCGGAUUGAAAUACUUGGUGCUCUUGUUUCCAUUCAGAUGAUUUGGCUGCUUGCUGGGAUCCUUGUUUAUGAAGCCAUUGCAAGACUUAUCCAUGACACUGGUGAAGUUCAGGGCUUUCUCAUGUUUGUUGUUUCUGCGUUUGGUUUAGUGGUGAAUAUCGCCAUGGCACUCUUAUUAGGUCAUGAUCAUGGGCAUGAUCACGGACAUGGGCAUGGCCAUGGUGUCCAUGGUCAUGGACAUGAGGAUCAUGAUGAGACACAUAACCAUGGGAUUACUGUGACCACACAUCACUCUCAUCAUCAUAUUCAUCAUCCUGUGGUGCACUCGAAUCAUGAUGACAAACACCAUCAUACCGAGGUAGUCAACAUCUCAGAACCUCUGCUCGGUCAUAGCUCUGAAGGUGAAAAGAAACAAGAAGGCAAAGGGAAGAAGCAACGAAACGUCAAUCUGCAGGGGGCUUAUCUUCAUGUACUUGGCGAUGCCAUUCAGAGUAUUGGAGUGAUGAUUGGUGGAGGGAUUAUCUGGUACAAGCCUGAGUGGAAGAUUAUUGAUCUGAUAUGUACCCUUGUAUUUUCAAUAAUCGUGCUGGCGACAACAAUCCGGAUGUUGAGGAACAUUUUGGAGGUUUUGAUGGAGAGUACUCCUAGAGAGAUUGAUGCCACAAAGAUUGAGAAAGGUCUCUGCGAGAUGGACGAGGUAAUUGCCAUUCACGAGCUGCACAUAUGGGCAAUAACUGUUGGGAAGGUGUUAAUGGCUUGUCAUGUUAUCGUUAAGUCGGAUGCUAAUGCUGAUGUGGUGCUGGAAAAGGUUAUAGACUACAUCAAGAGAGAAUAUAAUAUCAGUCAUGUAACGAUUCAGAUAGAGCGACAGUAAUGCUGGAGAGAGACGAUUUGUCUAUGCCCAACCGUUAUAAUUAGGUCAGUUUGGUGUUUUAAGACUUCAAUUUUUUCCCCACGGUUGACAGAUCAUAAUCUGUUAUCUCAUUGGUUUGCUCUUAAGUUCCUUGUUUUUAAAUCUACUUAUCGCGUGAAUGCAUGAAAGUUUAGUAUAAUGUCUUUGAAACACAAAAGAUUACAAUAACGAAACAUCUCCAACUGGAAACUACAUAUUCUUAAAAAGUGGAACAAGAAACUCGAAUGUCUGAAAAUCCUGCUUCUUUUCCCAAACUUUUGUAAUUCUCUCACUGUUCUCCUUCCCCAUCGCAUUGAUAUUCAUUAGGUACACAUCAAACUGAAACAAAAUUCUAGCAAUUCUUCAGUAUCAUCAAGCAUCGAUCGUCAUUUGCAUAAGUUGAAAGUUGUCGAAAGUGCAACUAGUCGAAUGAUAUUGGGUUUUUGAACAUGAAACUAAAAUGUAGGGGGUAAGAGUAGUAUAGAAAAUUUUGACAAAAAGGAUUAUCUCAUCCAAAGUAGAUGUUUGCUUUUGAACAUGCUCUACAAAUAAGGAGUUGAAUAAUUCUCAGAAACCUCACCUUCAUGAAAAUGGCAUUGCCUUUCGGAAUCCUCACAAACAUAUCUCCUGCAGUGUGCUCCAUACCUGAAGCAAAACUCUUCCGUAAGUUAGCAAAGCAAAGCGAACUACAAAGAGCUACACGAGAUUGUCCGAUGCUAACCAAAAAAUUUACCUCAUACCGGACGGGAGGGAGAUUUUUCGAGUGAGACUGAAAAUCUUAGUUGGUGCCCUUGAUGGCAGGGUGAUUGGAGAUUAUCGUGUUAAGAAUAGUACCAUCACCACCACCCACAUUUACAAACCCUUAUAGAUCUCCGGAAUUUUCUUCAUAAAAAAGGGGUUAAACUCUUUCAUUGAGUCAAAACACUCCACCAAAUCUUUCAUCCCUCCCAAUGUACGCCACCACAUUCUUUCCAUAGCCCUUGCUAAAUGGGAGCCCUCCCAACAAAACUGCAUCUUUCAAAUGGUACCUGCAGAAAUGGUGACAUGAAUAUGACCACACUGAUGAUGCAAAGGAAAAGAACAUGUUCAGCUCUUUACCUGCAAAUCAUAGUCUGAUAUGUAUACUGAAGUAAUUCGUUUAAAAAAAAAAAUGGAAAAAGUUUUGCACACGUGUCAGACUGCAAUCCCGGUUGUGGAGAGAUAGAAGCUGAGAAGCUAUUUGGGAAGGCGAAAGCAGGGCUCCGGGGCAAUCUCUGUGUAUAAUGUCGAGCACACCAAACUCUAUGGCUGGCUUUAAGCACCAUGGACAAUACUGAUCUGCUUACCAAUUGCAUUGCAUAUUGGGAGUGAGCUUCCUCUUCUCCAUUAAUGGUGGAGAUUUUCAUCUGUUUUUUUCCUUCUUUUGGAGUUUCCAUUUUUUGUUUGGAAUGCUGGUUUAUAUUGCUGUGAAAAAUUAUAUAAACGUGAGAGGUGAAAAGGGUUUUCAACUUCAUCAGAUUCUGAUGUUCUUAGUUGCUAAUUGAAGAAAUUGUGACAUGAGACUAAUCUGUGUUACCUUCUGUCUUUGGGGGCUUGACUACACAAUUUAUUUAUUUAUUUCAAAGUCAGUUUUCUUUUAGAAAACAAAGAAAUGUCACGUAUUUUCUUUUAAUUAAAAGAUCAUAGAUUAGUGAUUUUUCUGAACAUUUCAUAAGCGUGAGGUCUCAACUUCGACUUUUGUGAAAAUCGAGUUUGAUACUAAAUUAUUGUGGGUGACCAUUGUGUUUCUACCUCAAGUAUUAUACUUGGCCCAAGCUCUAGGAUUCUCAAUCCCCCAUUCGCAGAUGUUCUUAUCUUAUUUUCUUCUAUUCCUUUAAUGAGUUAAAUAACUAUUUAUUGAGUUUGAACACUUGGAUAUUAACCAAAAACAUAGCAUGUGACAAUUCGUGACUGAACGGAGUAAGGAGCCCUUCAAGUCAUGGCCUUGAGCCAUAUUCUCAAAUAAAACUAAUAGUUGUAGGAAAUUCGAAUCGACAUCAAUAAUACCAACAUCAUAGUCAUAUUUUAUAGAUUGUAAUUUGAAUUCACAUAUAUAUAUAUAUAUAUAUAUAUUAAUAAACCUUUCUACCAAUAAAAAAAAAAAAAUAUAUAUAUAUAUAUAUAUUAAUAAACCUAAGAAAAAUCAAGAGUCGAAAUAAUUUCAAUAUCUAUUCCAGAUAAAUAGACCAUUUUUUAAGGUAAUUUUUGCACUUAAUUAAAAAGGAAAUUUUAACGAAAAGCCUGCGGUACUAUUCACUUUAACGAAAAACCAUAUUUUUACACUAAAAAGUCAAACCUAGUACUAUUCACUUUACCCUUUAUUUUGUCCUUAUCGUUAAAACUCAAAGUUUUCAAGCUCUUUUUAUUAGUUUUUCUUAAAAAAAAAGACAUAACAUGUUCACAUGGGUUUGAACAAGUCUAAGCAACACUCAGUUGCAAGUCCUCUAUUCCAGAAUUUUUUGAAGUAUUCAGCAUAUGUGAAGUUCCUAAACAUGGCUGGAUAGUCAUGGUUGAUGAGCUCCUUGGCAGGCCCAAUCAUUGCAUCUAGUGCUGGACAUUAGAAAGUUGGGAUCGAUAUCCUCCCCAAAUUACAAUUUACCACAGCUCUAUGCAGCACACUCUUGUACCCAAGGUCUUAAAUGCCGAUAAUAUCGACGAUAUUUCGCCGAUAUUAUCGGUUUUUUACGGUAACGAUAUUUUAAUAGGCAUCUAACGGGUUUUCGUCAAAAUAUCGCGAUAUUAUCGAUAAUAUCGCGAUAUUUUUGAAACUAUUGCGAUAUUUUCGAACUGUGCUAAUCGGAGAAGAACCGGAGAAGAAUGCCGGAGCUUCUACAGCUCUGGCCGACUGUAAAAGAGCACCCUAGACUCCGAUCUAGGUAUCAAAAUGAAAUAGAAGACGAGAUGAAUGUUUUUAUAAAGUUCGUUUGCUGUGAAACGGUCGGAGGUGUUUGGAAAGUUCGUCGACACCCACGGCCUCGCCGGAGAUGGGUGUGCCUAUUCCCGAGCUGAUUUCAUCCCAAAAACCUUGCAAAAACACGAUUUUGAACUUAAAUUUCACAUAUAAGCUUCAAUCUAGAACAGAAAGAGUCAAACCCGAAGCUUACCUAACCGGAGAAAUUCAAGAACCUCGCCGGAGUUCCUGCGUUCGCCGAGUUACAGAGACGAGAAGGAGAGGGAGAAAGACGAGGUUGCUGAUGAUGAUGGGUGUCUUCCUGAAGCAGGUGCGAUGGUGUGCCUGUGUGUAUGUGAGUCUCGGACCCUCGGUGCAGAAAGAAAGAAGAGAGACGGCGCCGACGAGGGAGGAGCAGAAGGCGAUGUGGGAGAAGGAUCGAGAGACCUUGGGUCUAUGUGCAUGUGUGUGGGAGAUCUGUGUGUGUGUGUGGGAGAAUGGAGAAGGGGGAGAAGGGAGAUCAGAGAAGAAGAGAGAAUAACCGAGAGAGAGACUGUGUUCGUGUGUUGUGUUGUGUUGUGUGCAUGUGUAGUGGCGUGUCGGUGUGUGUGUGUGUCGGUGUGUGUGUGUGGUUGGGUCAUCUGACUCACUCACCUGACAACUUUUACAAUCACAGACCAUGGACAAAAAUAAUAAUGCUUUCAUAAUGAAACCGUGUGCCACUGUGAGUCUGUGAUAUUCUUUCACAUUCAAAACCAUGUGCCACUGUGAGUCUGUGAUAUUCUUUCACAUUCUCAGAGGUGGAGUAUCAGAGCAUUUUCGUUUCUUCUUCUUCCCUUACCCCUUUCAAAGCCAUUCUAGAUUCAUUCCAGAGCUUGAACACAAAGGUUCCAUAUUUAAAGUAAGUUUACAAACUUAUAUUUAUAUUAUUGUAAUUUAUACAACAACAAAAAAAUUUGUGUGGACUCGUAUGUUAAUUUUUUUAAGUAAUUAAUACUUGCAUGUUAAUUUUUGUAAGUAAUUAAGUAAUGUUAACAAUUACAUGUUAAUUUUUUUAAGUAAUUAAGUAAUGUUGUAUAAUUAUUCCCUAGGAUAAUUUUAAUAUGUUUAAUGUUAUUUAUUAUUUUAUUAAUAUUAGGUUUGAUUAUCAAAUUGGAUUAUUAUUCAUUAAUAUUAGGUUUUUUUUUAUUAUCAAAUUGGAUUAUUAUUCAUUAAAUUGGAUUAUUAUCAAAUUGGAUUAUUCAUUAAAUUGGAUUAUUAUCAAAUUGGAUUAUUCAUUAAAUUGGAUUAUUAUCAAAUUGGAUUAUUAUUCAUCACUAUGUUUUAUAUUAGGAUUAUUUUUUUUAUCAAAUUGGAUUAUUAUUCAUUAAUAUUAGGUUUUAUUAUUCCAUAUUAUUUUUAUAAUUACUUAAAUUUUUACAAUCAUUUUCUUUACUUCGUAUUUAAUUCUUCUGUAUAAUAACUUUAUUAUUUAGGUUCUCUUAUAUAACCGUCAUCACUACUAUAUUUUUUGGCCAAAAAAUAAUUGUCUAAUUUUCAUGAAAAAUAAAUAUAGAUACGUUUAAGAUGUCCAGUGGAGUUACUAAACGUGAUCCAGCUUGGGAAUAUGGAGACCCAAUAGAUGGAAACAAACAUGGCACAAUUUGCAAAUAUUGUGGUCGGGUAAUGAAGAGUGGCGGAGUGACACGACUUAAGUACCAUCUUAGUGGAUUAGAUCCAGCAAAAAAUGUCCAACAAUGCGAUAAUGUCCCCCCAUAAGUGAAGGCAUUCAUCAGCACAUGAUUAAAAAAUAAAAAACAGCAGAAGGAAAAGAUAACACAUGGAAUGGAAAAUAUUCGAGCUGGACUACGAGGGGAAGUCUAUGGCCAAACGGUUGACAGUGAUGAUGAUGACGAUGAGGACGAAUGUGAUGAUGACAUGGGACUUGAAGAACGACGCAGUUUGAAAUAAGCAUUACGUGCCUCCAAACAGUCAGCAUGGGAAAAAGAACACCUUCAUAAAAUUCCUAAUAGAGCACAAGGUUCCAGGACAAGUGGUGGUGCACAAAUGAGAUGGGGAGGCAGUCUUAGAGAAUCACAACCAACACCACCAAUAGCCCCAAGUUUAUAUAAGUCAUCCAAAGCACGUCAAAAGAGUAUUUGGAGUUAUUUCACUGGAGGUAAUGUGAAGGAGGGAAUGGGGCGUCUAAUUAGCAAGUUCUUUAUCUAUGAAAAUGUCCCUACUGAGAAAGCAUCAUCACAUCAUUUCAAAAAUAUAGUAGUGGGAUGUCAACAUGCCGGUGUUAGAGUACAACCUCCCACUCCCUAUGAGAUAAGAAACAAAUAUUUGGAUAUGGAGUAUAAAGACAUUGGCAAGUAUGUUAACAAGUUGAGGUCAAAGUGGGAAACUAAUGGUUGCACAAUCAUGUGUGACGGAUGGACUGGCCCGACCAGAUUGUCCAUCAUAAACUUCAUGGUAUACUCCAAGGGAAAGACAAUUUUUUUUAAGUCUGUUGAUGCUUCAGACCAUAUAAAGAACUACAAGUAUAUUUACAAAUUAUUGAGGGAUGUAAUCAUGGAGGUGGAAGAGCAUAAUGUUGUCCAAGUCGUGACCAACAACGGUUCUGCAUUUGUCAAAGUUGGAAAAAAGUUAAUGAAGCAUCAUAAUGUGUUUUAGACAUCAUGUGCAGCUUAUUGUAUUGAUCUCAUGUUUGAGGCAAUGGGGAAGAUAGAGAAUGUUGCUACUGUGGUAAAAAGAGCUAAAACGAUCACAAAUUAUAUUUACAAUCACGGUUGGUUGUUGGCAAAGAUGCGUGAAUUUUGCAAAUGAAACAUUAUUCGUCCAGCUACCACUCGAUUCGCCACCAACUAUAUUGCAUUAGACAGCCUACUUAAGAAGAAAUCAGGGUUGAAGCAACUAUUCACUAGUGACGAUUGGGCCAACCACAAUUUGAGCCGCUCAUAUGCAGGUCGUAUGGUGGAAAGUAUAGUGCUUGAUCAUGCUUUUUGGACACAAUCAGAACAUGUAUGCCAAGUGUUUGAACCUCUUUACAAAGUUUUACGGAUUGUUGACACAGAAGUGUAUCCUACUAUGAGGGCAAUAUAUGAGUUGAUGCGUGUAGUGAAGGAUGAAUUGGAAAGCAAACAUGGUGCAAGGUGGGUCAUAAAGAUAAUUGAAGACCGAUGGUAUAAAACAUUAUACCACGAUUUGCAUGCAACAUGUAUAAAUUAUGUCAUAAUUUGCAAUUCAUUUCUUUAGUUGCAUAAGUAUUAUUUCACUUAUUAGAGUAUGUAUUUCUUUGAACAGCAUAUUAUUUGAAUCCUCGAUACCAAUACAGACCCGGUGUUGGAGAUGAUGGUACCCUUAUACGUGCUGUACAUAAUGUAUACUUUAAAUUAGACCCUGCAUCACCAGCAGUUGGCCAAUUUGGAAAUGAGGUACACAAUUACUUAAAUUAUAAUAAUUACUUUGUUGGAUUAAACUAACACGAUUUAUUGAAUUCAGCUAACAUGGUUUAAAGAUGCAAGAAGAACUUUUGGAGAACCAACAUCAGUUGCUGCUCGAACAAAAAUGUCUCCUAGUGAGUGUAAACAUAUUUCACGAUAAGUUUAUAAUAGAAUUUGUUGGAGUUAUUAGGCUUAUCAACAUUGUUUUUCAUUGUAGCUGAAUGGUGGAUCAUGUAUGGGACCGAUGCACCAACUGUGAGAAAGUUAGCAAUCAAAGUAUUAUCACAAACAACUUUCUCAUCUGCUUGUGAAAGAAAUUGGAGCACAUUUGCAUUCAUACACACAAUCAAAGAAAUAGGUUGGCUCAUAGUCGGUUGGAAAAAUUAGUUUAUUGCUACUACAACAUGAAGCUUCAAAUUCGAGAUAAGGAAGCAGAAAUAGAUCAUGUCGACCGUGGUGACCCACUAGAUGUGUUUGAUAUUGUUGCUAAAGAUGAUGAUACAGAGGGUAACCAACUUUAUCAAUGGCUUAGACCUCUUCAUUUAGAUGAUGAUGAAGGCAACCCAGCUCUUAGAGUUGCUGAAGAAGCACGUAAUGAAGGGAUAAAUGUAGAAAGAGUAUUAGCGGAGGAGGUGGGAUUUAGCAACGUUGACUCUUUGGAAAAAUUUUUGCGCCCAAGACCAAGAAACACUGGAAUUCCACCUUCUUCCAAUCCUACACAACCACAACAUCGUGCUGAUACUAAUGACAGCUCUAGUACAAGAUCAGGAGGAGACUCACCUACCACCGGAGGUGGGAAUGAUGAAGGAUAUAGUGGAGCUGGAGGUAGUGGUGGUGGAUAUGGAAACUAUGUUGGACCACCUCCCGGAUUUAUGAGCCCCUUCAUUGGUGAGGCAAACUUCAUGCAUGCAACACAGGAUGAGGACCAUGGCAGUAGGCGGGCAGGACCAGGAAUUGGUGCCAUAGGGAAGGACUAUACUCGUAGAGAAAGAGGCAAGGGGAUUUUGUCAAGUCAAGAAGAUGACUCGUUAUCUAUAACUUCGGACUCUGUUGGAGUGGGAAGUAGUAACUAUGGUUAUACUCAUAACCAAUCAUUUCCCUACCCUUCAUAUCCCAUUCCUGUUGGGAUGGAAUCGAGCGAUUCAUGGAAACAAUCCGAGACUCAAUCUUCAAAUGAUUUUGCUUAUGGACAAGGUCAACCAAUCUCGGAUCCAUAUGGGUGGCAUGUUAACAAUUACAUGCAAAACUAUUUUGGGGAUUUAUCAUUUGAUAACUACUCUUCACAAUACACUCACUCUACACAUAGAGAUGAUGAAGAUAGUGAAACAUUUGAACCUCAUAGGAACUCUAUGUGGUACUAAGUCACUCAUGUAUCUUACCGUGCAAUGUAUAAAGUGUAAAAUAUUGUACUAAUUCAUUAUAUAUAAAUGAUUAUGGUGUGUUUAAACUUCUUUCAUUAAUUACUACAUAUUUUCUACACUCACAAUGUUUGCCAACUCGCUAUAUAAUCAACUUGAUAAUGUUAAAUCCAUCAUGCAAUGCAUUUCCUUCCAAUUUUUUAUGAUAAACUAAUAGAUAAUUGACUAAAUAAACAUCCUGCAAAGUUUCAAUAAAAAUUUCCAAGUUUUUCUUACAAUUUCCGUGGUUUCCAUAUUAUUUUUAUCGAUAUCGAUAUUAUCCCGAUAUUUCCAUUGAUAUUUCCGUAUUUUCGGACUACCGAUAUUUCCAAUAUCAUCGAUAUUUAAUACCUUGCUUGUACCUACUGUUGCUAAUUACCUAAUACCAAAUAAAAUGGUAAAAAAAAGUAAAAUUCUAUUGAUGCAUAAAAUCAAUGAAGACUUUGGUACAACAAAAAAUAUUAAGUUUGUGACCUUCGCUAGAUUGCUCUGGUCACUAGUGUGGAUAAGUAUGUAAAUGGAUAGAGACAGUGAAGCAAACAAAAGAUGAACGUGGUUCACCCAGAUUGGCUACGUUCACAGAGUAGAGGAGUUCUCAUUAAUUGUAAAGGGUUUACACAAGUACAUAGGUUCAAGCUCUUCUUUUGUGAGUACUAGUGAAUGAUUUAGUACAAAUGACAUUAGGAAAUAUUAUGGGAGAAUGAUCUCCUUUUAUAAAAGAGAGUUUCUAGCUUUGUUCUGACAUUGACACGUGUCGUGUUGUGAUUGGCUUCUGAUGUUGACACGUGUCGCGUUAUGAUUGGCUUCUGAUGUCGACACGUGUCGUGUUGUGAUUGGCCUCCUGGUUGGAGGGAAACUCUUCUGGGUCCUUGACGGUAUAAUGUUGACCGGUGCUAGGUAGUUUCGGGAUUGGUCAAGUAUGGUACAAACAGUGCUUCCCUAAGUUCCCGAGUAAGGGAAGCUCCUCAGUUAGGGACUUGCAAGAUCCAAGCCGCUGAGUAAUCACGAAACUUCUAAGUACCAAAGAGUGGUAUCGUCUUCACUUACCUUAUCUGUCUCAUAGGUAGAUGUGGCAUCUUCUUUGGAAGUACUCUUCCUCUAUCCAAGGGUGGUAUCUUUAACCGGUGGAGAUGCACAAGGUAAUGUAUCAAUUUCACUUCAAGGUUACUUGUAGUUUCAGGCUUGGUCAAGCGCGAUACAAACCAUGUAGUAGGAGUCCCCCAAGUCGCCGAGCUAGAAGAUCUGCCGAAAGAGGUGACAUACAAGGUAAGCAAUCAGAGCUCCAAGCAAUCAGUCACAGAUCAGAAGUUUGAUUUCGAGUUCCGGCUGAUUAUUCUCAUUCUCCCUAUCUUGCAGGCAGCAUGAAGGAUAAAGAGAAGAAAAAGGAGAAGAGAUGAUAUAAGAUAUUUUUGCUUAUGAAGAAGUAACUUUCCAUAGACUUAUUAUUGAACUGGGCUGAAGGGUUUUCUAGUUUCCUCUAGAGUAUAAGGCUGACUCAAGAAUUUGAGGGUUAAAACAAGUCCAUUAAAUCAAGAGUUCGUUCGACCUUGAUGAUAUGAGAUACUUUUGCUGUUGACAAAGUAGUGGAUAUGGUAUGGCAAGGCUUUGCUCUUUGGCGACGUUGCUAGCGAAAGGUUGUUGAAGUUUCUUGAGCUCUUCGGAUAGGGCAGCGUUGCCGAGCUUGGAUUUGACUUAGACUCAUCCGUCUGGAUUAUGUGGUUCUACAGGAGGGCGUCAUGCUAUAAUGAUCUGUUCUAGCUCAUCGUUGAACCUUCUGCUUCAAUCUUUUGCAUCGCAGAAGUGGUGCGCAACCUUUGCAUUUGAAUGGUCAUUCAGAGCACUACUUCUCAGCGACUCAUCCAUCCUUGGCAGCUUUAGUGUAAAGAGACAAUAUCGUAUCAACUGUUCUGAAGUAUUUACCGAAAGGAUUCGUGACCUUGACAACAGUUGAGGAUGAGUACUCGAGAGCAAUGCUAAGUGAGCAACCAGGCAAAGGUUCCGGGCAAUCAGUUCCAGAUUGAAGUUUGAUUUCAGGUUUCGAAUGAUUGUUUUCUUUUCCUUGUUAUGCAGGUAAGAGCAAGGGCAAAGGAAAAGACAGGAAAAAAACAUGAUAUGGGAUACUCCUACUUUUAAUCCUGAUGAUAUGAGGUACUCUUGCUUUGGUUGCAGAUGUAUUAUCGGGGGAAACGAAGUUGAGUAUUUCGAAAGGCUUCGUUGGGAGUGCCCUCUCAGAUAUGAGAAAUGGUUGAGCAUUUUUUAAGAUCUGCCUGUCCGUGGAGGGUGGAGGUAGACAUAUAUAGGAGUUUCCUCAACAUGUAGUAAUGUUAUUCCUUUACUUUUAUUGGUUAUAACAAUGUAGUGGGAGCUGCAAGCUUCACGUGGUUUAACUUUGUCAGAGCAUUUUGAAAAAGUGGUCUGUGGUAUCUGGAAAGCUGAUGUUGCAUGUGAAGAUUGCAGACAAAUUUUAUCUAAGGAAAUCUGGCUCUCGAAGUUAUGAGAGUGGUGCCUCUUCGGUUUUUGAACAAGCAAUCCUAUUAGGGAUCUGGCUCUCGAGAUUCGGAGAGCAAUACCUCUUCGAUUUUUGAACAAGCAAUCCUAUUGGGGAUCUGGCUUUUGAGAUUUAGAGAGCGGCGCCUCUUCGAUUUUUGAGAAAGUGAUCAUGGUAAGAGUCUGGCUCUUGAGAUUCGGAUAGCGGUGUCUCUUUAAUUUUGAGAAAGUAAUCUUAGUGGGAGUCUGUCUCUCGAGAUUCGGGGAGCGGUGCCUCUUCGAUUUUUGAGAAAGUAAUCAGGUUAGGAGUGUUUUCUCGAUGUGAGUAAAGGUUGGACAUUUUUACCAGUCUGAUUUACCACGGAGCACGGAGGUUGACACACAUAGGGACUUUCCAAUUAUCAAGUAAUGGUUCUGUUCCUUUACCCUUGUGGGUAAUGGUAGAGUAGCUGGACCUUCAAAUUUUAUGUGUCUAAACUUUGUCCGAGAUCUUUGGCAAAGUUAUCUAUGGUACCCGAUGAGCUGAUGUUGCGUGUGAAGAUUGUCGACAUAUUUUACUCAAGAAAAUCCGUUUCUCAAAAUCCGGAGAGUGGUGCCUCUUCGAUUUUUGAACCAACAGCCCUGUUGCCCUUUCUUUUAUAAGGGCACCAAUUGUGUGCAAGAAGUACAUUCAAAGAGGUAUUGCUUGUAGGAAUUUUCCCCUUAUUUUCGUACUUCAGAGAUUUAUUGGACCUUAUUUCUCCUUCAUCAUUUCUGACAAUGUCUGGCCCAUUCGACUAUCGUUUUAACUUGAACUUUGGUGAAGAGGCAGCCAUGCCUCCUUAAGACAACAUAUGGCGCCCAUCCUUUUUAUCGCCUAUUAGUUUUCUUACCGUUGGAGACUCUGUGAUGAAGAAUGAUAUGACCGCUGCGGUGGUGGCCAGGAACCUUCUCACUUCUAAAGACAACAGACUACUUUCUAAACGGUCUGAUGAGUUGGCUGUUAAGGAUUCUCUAGCUCUUAGUGUUCAGUGUGCAGGUUCUGUGUCUAAUAUGGCCCAACGCCUAUUUGCUCGAACCUGCCAAGUUGAAUCAUUGGCGGCUGAAGUGAUAAGUCUCAAACAGGAGAUUAGAGGGCUUAAGCAUGAGAAUAAAUAGUUGCACAUGCUUCACAUGACUAUGUUACAAACAUGAAGAGGAAGCUUGACUAGAUGCAGGAAUCUGAUGAUCAGAUUUUACUUGAUCAUCAGAGGUUUGUGGGUUUGUUCCAAAGGCAUUUAUUGUCUUCGUCUUCUGGGGCUGUAUCGCGUAAUGAAGCUCCAAAUGAUCAACCUCUGAUACCUCCUCCUUCUGGGGUUCUGUCCAGCAUUAAGGCUCCGAAUGAUCACCCUCCGGUGCCUUCUCUUUCUGGGGCUCUGCCGACUACUAAGACUUUUCAUGAGCAACCUUUGUGAAGGCUCCAUCUUGUUUGUUUAUUUUGACUCAUGUAUAUGUACAUAUUUUUAACUUAUCGAAGAUAUCAAUAAAUAAGCUUUGCUUCAUUUCAACGUAUUGUGUUAAAUACACCAAAGCCUUCUUCACUAAGUUCUUUGAAUUUUUUCUUUUGUUGAAGCUUGUAUGUUGAAGCUUUGUGAGUGAAGCAUGUAUGUUGAGGUAGUGCUCCCUUAAUUUCCCGAGUGAGGAAAACUUCUCGAUUGGAGACUUGAAAAAUCCAAGUUACUGAAUAGUCGUGAGUCUUCCGAGUAUCAAGGUGCAGUAGCAUAUUGUAGGAGUCCUCGAAGUCUCCGGUCGAGGGAGUUGACGAAGGUGGUAUUUCCUUUCUAAGUGGUAGCCCAAAACUCAUCCUUCAUAUAUAUUUGUUAUGAAAGUUGUUAGGCCCAAAGAAGAUAAGGCAUAGGCAAUUUUUUUUUCGAUUUUUUUUUUAAUUUUCGAAUUUUCGAAUUUUUGAAUUUCCGAAAAAAAAAAAAAAAUAUAUAUAUAUAUAUAUAUAUAUUUAAGCUUUGUAGGUGAAGCUUUGGUGUUGAAGCUUUGUAUGUGAAGCUUUGAGCUUAAAGCUUUGUUGGGUGCCAUGAAUUGAUUUUGCUUCACACUAUCUUGAUCAAGAGAGUGUGAAGCUUUUGUAGGUGAAGCUUUUGUGUUGAAGCUUUGUAGGUGAAGCUUUUGGAGGUGAAGCUUUUGUGGGUGAAGCUUUUGUGGAUGAAGCUUUUGUGGAUGAAGCUUUUGUAGGUGAAGCUUGGAGUUGAAACUUUGUAGGUGAAGCUUUGGAAAUGAAGCUUUUGUAGGUGAAGCUUUGGAGUUGAAGCUUUUGUUGGAUACCAUGAAUUGAUUUUGCUUCACACUAUCUUGAUUAAGAUAGUGUGAAGCUUAUAAGAAUUUAUAGUUGCCCUCCAUUUGUUAAAGCUUUUGCUUUUGUGGUGAAGCUUUGUAGGUGAAGCUUUGUUGGGUACCAUGAAUUGAUUUUGCUUCACACUAUUUUGAUCAAGAUAGUGUGAAGCUUUUGAGAAUUUGUAGUUGUCCUCCAUUGAUGAAGCUUUGUUGAAUUUCCCAAUUUCUGUUUUUGUUUUCUUUUUUUGGAAACUUUGAAAUUUGUUGAAUUUUCCAAUUUCCCUCUUUUUUUUUUUUUUGGGAAACUAGAAAUUUGGAAAUGUGGGAGAGACAACAUAUACAAAUUUUGCUUCCACACUGCUGAGUAAGAGAUUGUGAUGCAAGCCACAUCUUGUGGUAGUCGAAGGUUUGGAUGAACCAAUAAAUUGAAUUUGCUUCGAAUAGUCUUGAUCAAGAGUGUGGGAAGCUUUCUAUGAGUUGUAGUUGCCCUUCAUUGAUGAAGCUUUUGUUGACACCAAAAAUUGGUUUUGCUUCACACUGUUUUGAUCAAGAGUGUGUGAAGCUUUUGAGAAUUGUGGUUAAACUCCUUUGAUGAAACUCUUGUUGGCACCAUAAAUUGGUUUUGCUUCACACUGUCUUGAUCAAGAAUGUAUGAAGCUUUUGAGAAUUGUGGUUGCCCUACAUUGAUGAAGCUCAUGUUGGCACCAUAAAUUGGUUUUCCUUCACACUGUCUUGAUCAAGAGUGUGUGAAGCUUUUGAGAAUUGUGGUUGCCCUCCAUUGAUGAAGCUUGUUGGCACAAUAAAUUGGUUUUGCUUUACACUAUCUUGAUCAAGAGUGUGUGAAGCUUUUGACGAGUUGUAGUGUUUGCAUUGUUACAGAGGAGAAAUGUCUGAAGCAGAUGCAAGACGGCUGAAUAGCUUGAUUUUUGUAUGCCAUGCACUGAAGUUGUUGUUGGCUUGCAAUAAGACUUUGUUGGUGACUAAAACUCUUGUUGGGCAUAAGUGCUCCCCUCGUUGAGUUGUCAAGCUUGAGGGUUUUUGAUUAUUUGUGAAUGCUAAGAGUUCAUAUAUACAAAUUGUACCACUCGUCUUAUGGUAGGUGGAAUGAAUUGUGAGUUUUCAUCACUUGAUUGGUGGUACAAAGGUGAGUUCCUUCAUUAUCUUUCAUCACAUUUCAUCACCUGGUUGGUGGCACGAAGAUGAGUUCCUUCUUCACCUGGUUGGUGGCAUGAAUGGCAAGUUGCCAAAUGAUAUUAGAGUACGGGUUGUACAUUUCAUCACCUGGUUGAUGCCAUGAGUGGCAAGUUGCCACAUGAUAUUAGAGUACGGGUUGUACAUUUCAUCACCUGGUUGGUGGCAUGAAAGAGAGUAUGGGUUGUACAUUUCAUCACCUGGUUGGUGAGAAUAAGGGCAAGGUGUCGAGGCAUAUUGUAACAAGUGUCGAAUGACACAAAGUAUGUUGAACCAUUUCGAAGCAUGGUUGGCUGAUGUAUGAAUGUGUUGGAAUGUAUGAUUGAACAAAUAUACUGUGAAGCUGUUCGUUUAUUUGUAUAGUCUUAUUGACAUAUACUUAGACUUUGUUUCAUGUUGAAAACAUUCAUGUUGAAACUUUGAACCCGAGUGUUUCAUUGCUAGGAAUGUAAAAGGAUUAUGACCGAGUUGUCUAAAUCACCUCUUUAUUGAAUUCAUGCCAUGUAUGGGUAUCAGGUGUGCUAUGCUGGGGUAAAUAGUCACGCAUGUGUAAUCCGGGUGCCUCGACUUUGGCUUCGGUACCAGGUGUGCUAUGCUGGUGUAAAUGGCCACACAUGUGGCAUUCAAAGGUGUGUAUGCCUCAUACUUCGGGGUAGGGUCUGUCCUGACACGUGCUUGACCCACUGUGUUGACUGCCUGAGGUCGGGGAUUAUGAUGGCGAUACCCUUGGUUAUCGCGGUAGUGGUCCUUAGUCCUUUUACUAAAAUGAGACUGCUGAGGAUGGAAAUCUUUCCUUUUGCCCUGAGAUUGAUAUGUAUGUUGACUUGGCAAAGUAUUAAGUAAGGCAAGGGGAUGCACCGCUGCCGUUUGGAAGGUUGAGGUCUUCUCAUUUAGGUGGGUCUGGCUUACACUCCCCACUUGCUGAUAGGGGAUGGUUGUUGGGGGUUUUUCUAGGUAUGUCCUUGCCUCGGCGGAGGCAUGGUUAUAAGCCUGCGCCAUCACCUUAGAGUAAGUCUUCUAAGUGUUGGCAUUGAUCAUGUACUUAAAGAAACAGUUACGUAGGCCUGCCGUGAAGGCUUUAAGGGUAGUCUUGUCGUCUGCCUCGGCACAACGGGAAUACUCAUGGUUGAAGCGGCCAGCAUACAUACGUAAUGACUAGUCUAGCUUCUGGCGAAUAGUGUACAAGUCAUCUGCAGUGUAAGCGAUCAGUCUGGAAAAUGUCUUGAAAAACAAACAGUUUCCUUAAUUUCUCAAAUGAGUCUACUGUCUCAGGUGGAAGACGACAAUAUCAGUUUAAAGCUCCGCCAGAGAGGGUGGAGGGGAAGAGGAGACUUUUAUCUUCGUUGGUGUGCAUCCGGUAUGCCAUGGUGGACUCAAAGAGGUUAAGGUGUUCAAUUAGGUCGUCAUUUCCAAUAUAGAGUUGCAAGUUAAGCUUCUGCUUUGUCUUUGCUUGAAGGGGGUGUCGAUGAUCCUCAUUAUAAGAGGGCCAGGCUUAGGUUGGUUCCAAUCAGGUAUCUCAGCUUGUCGUUCAGCCUUUAACUUGUUUACUUCCUUAAGAAGUUGUAUGACAAGAGGGUCCUAAGUGGAGUCAUGUACUACUGGAGCUUUCUUUCGUAAAUCUCUAUCUCCUCUUGGAAGUAGGAAGGUCUGAUCAAGAGCAUGUGAUUUUUCCCUGGACUCGCCGUGCUGACUUCCAAGGUAUGCCUGUCGGAACAUCUCUGAGUCCCCUAUACCUUCAUGUUUCUCUAGGACUUGUUGCCCUUCCCCAAAUUGGUAACCAGCCUAGGACAUGGAAGGGGACCAAGUCUUUCAGAGACCAUUGGGUCAUUGAUCUUCGAGCUUACAUGGAUGGGAUUGUCUCGACGUUACUUUAGGAAGUCUAACAGUCGUAAAAGACGGCUUUUGAUCUUUCCACUUCUUCUGUAAGAAGGUGUCUUCCUCCACUCCUCUUGCUUCGGGUCGAAGCAGUUGGGUUGAGAAAAGUCUCAUGUUGGUUGCCAUUUCGAUGAGUAGCUCGCUCCUCAACAGGAAUACCCAUGUCGAGGGCAAAUGACCCUCCGUGUUGGGGGCACCCAGUUGAUGGUUGACUUCCAUAGAGGUGAGGAGCUCAUGUGUUUAGUAUAUCUAGCCUCGUGGAACAUCUCAAAGACCUUUUCAUACUGCUCUUAGAAGAUCUUAUUCUUCAUCGCUAUCUUGUUGUUCUAAGCCUCCAACUCAUCGACUUUAGCCUGAAGAGCAAACUUCUUUUGUUCCUUCUUUCGUUGCUUCGCACCAGGUGCAAGAGAGAUGUCUGGUCAAAAGAGAGUGUACGAAUGGUGGAAACUAGCUUAACAAAGCUGAAGAGAGUGGGAAUAAGUGUCGUUCCCAUAGACAACACCAAAUGUCGAUGCACAAAAUCAAUGAAGACUUUGGUAGAACAGAAAGUGUUAAGUUUGUGACCUUCACUAGAUUGCUCCGGUCACUAGUGUGGAUAAGUAUGUAAAUGGGUAGAGACAGGGAAGCAAACACAAGAUGUUUGUGGUUCACCCAUAUUGGCUAUGUCCACGGAGUAGAGGAGUUCUCAUUAAUUGUGAAGGGUUUAGACAAGUACAUAGGUUCAAACUCUCAUUUUGUGAGUACUAGUGAAUGAUUUAGUACAAAUGACAUUAGGAAAUAUUGUGGGAGAAUGAUCUCCUUUUAUAGAAGAGAGUUUCUAGCUUUAUUCUGACAUUGACACGUGUUGUGUUAUAAUUGGCUUCUGAUGUUAACACGUGUCGCGGUAUGAUUGGCUUCUGAUGUCGACACAUGUCGUGCUGUGAUUGGUCUCCUGGUUGGAGGGAAACUCUUUUGGAUCUUUGACAGUAUAAUGUUGACCGGUGCUCUGUAGUUUCGGGAUUGGUCAAGUAUGGUACAAACAAAUUCAAUUAACAGUUUACACAUGUAAAUGUCACAAAAACUUGUCCCUCUACUUGGACAAGUUUCCCUUGCUAGGGAUAAAUGAGUUUAACCAUCCCAAGCGUGAUGCAACGAUCUAUUAUUUCUGUCAUCAUGUAACCAAUUAAGUGAGAACAAAGAUAAAAAAAUUUAAGAUUUCACGCUCUGUGACAGGGAUAAAUUAGCUGAUGGAAAAUAUUUUGGGAGAUUUUUUAAUAUGCUCUUAGAAAUUCUAUGCACUAGAUGAUUACAAAAUGGCACCCCUAUUUAACUAAAUAUUUAACUAAGUUAAUGAAUUCAAUUUGGAUAAUAUGCUCUUGUUAGACUAAGUAUAUCUAUCUAGAUUCUGACAAAUAUAAGUCUGAUAAGAUAACGUUAGUCAGUUUGAAUAUUUGAGUACUAACAGAAGACGAUGAAAAAGAAGCACCACCUAUUUACUUGAACAACGGGGGAUUGUUAGGCCAUUCUUGGACAAAGUCUUGAAGUGGGAAGCAAUGCAAUCUAAGGAAGUCCCUCUAGUUGGACAGUUUUUCAAUCUUGACAUUGAAACUAGUGGAGAGCCUGGUGGUCUUAGAAGGGUCAUCUAAGUACAUCUUCAACCUCUCACUUUCUGGUAAUUUGAAAAACUCUCUUGCUAUACUCAACAUGUUUUUUAUCAUUGUCUCUGGAACUCCAUGAUUUUUCACCUGGUAAUAUAAAAGUUAGUGCAUAAUUUAGUUAUUUUAUAUAAUAAGACUAAUAGUACUCAUAUACGUACUCAGGUAUAAAAUAACUAAAUUAUGCACCAACUGGGCGCCACGUCAUCACUUAUGCACCAACCUUAACUGGAAACUUAACAGUUUGACUAACGGAUGUAUGAGACUGUCCCAAAAUUUACACUUUAGGUAUGACUUUGGGAUGAAAAAAAAUUGAUGUACUAAAUGUUGAAAACCACGAAACAUGAGGGUAGUAAACAGUCUUUUGCCCAUAACUAAAUUAUGCACCAACAUUUUUAUUACCAGGUGAAAAAUCAUGGAGUUCCAGAGACAAUAAUAAAAAAAUAUGUGGAGUAUAGCAAGAGAGUUUUUCAAAUUACCACUAAGUACAUCUUCAACCUCUCACUUUCUGGUAAUUUGAAAAACUCUCUUACUAUACUCAACAUGUUUUUUUAUCAUUGUCUCUGGAACUCCAUGAUUUUUCACCUAAUAAUAAAAAGGUUGGUGCAUAAUUUAGUUAUUUUAUAUCUAAGUACGUAUAUGAGUACUAUUAGUCUUAUUAUAUAAAAUAACUAAAUUAUGCACCAACCUUUUUAUUACUAGGUGAAAAAUCAUGGAGUUCCAAAGACAAUGAUAAAAAACAUGUUGAGUAUAGCAAGAGAGUUUUUCAAAUUACCAGAAAGUGAGAGGUUGAAGAUGUACUCAGUGGUAAUUUGAAAAACUCUCUUGCUAUACUCACCAUGUUUUUUAUCAUUGUCUCUAGAACUCCAUGAUUUUUCACCUGGUAAUAAAAAUGUUGGUGCAUAAUUUAGUUAUGGGCAAAAGACUGUUUACUACCCUCAUGUUUCGUGGUUUUCAACAUUUAGUACAUCAAUUUUUUUUCAUCCCAAAGUCAUACCUAAAGUGUAAAUUUUGGGACAGUCUCAUACAUCCGUUAGUCAAACUGUUAAGUUUCCAGUUAAGUGAUGACGUGGCGCCCAUGUGGAUAAUGACUGGGCGCCACAUGUCAUCCACAUGGAAAUUAAAAAUAAAUUAUUUAUAAAAUAAAUUUAAUUAAUUUAAAUAAUUUAUAAAUAAAAAUAAAUAAAUAAAUAAAAAACCCCUUCUUCCCCAAAUCCCACCCGUGCCCACCCUCCCUUCAUCCACCCCUUCGUCUUCCCCAAAUCCCACCCUCCCAGUUCCCCUUCGUCUUCCCCACCCUCUACCCCUACCCACCAACACCCUUCAUUUCCCUGAUACCCACACAGCAGAACCCAUUUCAUCCCCCAAUUUUAUCAACACACCCACCACCCAAUUUUAUCAAGCUCCGCCAUUUCCGACACCAAUCUCACCACGCGCACCUGAACCCUCCGGUGUUUGAGUCCGACGGCGCCAACCUCUCCCUCCCUCAUCUUCCCCUGUCGUCUUCUCCCUCGACCUCCCAGCGCAACCCAGAAGAAGAACAAAAAAAAAAAGGAGGAGAAGAAGAAAAAAAAAAAAAAACUGAAUCUGCAACCCAGAAGAAGAAAAAAAAAAAAAAAAAAACCGAAUCUGCAACCCAGAUUUGGAGGAAGAAGAAGAAGUAAAACCCAAUCCCCAAAACCCAGAAGAAGAAUAAGGAGGAGGAGGAGGAGGAAGAAGAAAAAAAAAUGAGGAACCAGUUCGCCCCCCGAGGAAGAAGAAGGAAAAGAAAAAAAAAUGAUUUUUUUUCAAAAGUUUUUGGCGGGAAAAAAAUAAUUUAAUACUACCAAAAUUCCUUAUCUAAAAAAAAAAACAAAAUCUACGUGGACCCACGUGGCGACCCACUUGGUGCCGAGUCAUUGUCCACAUGGGCGCCACGUCACAGUUAACGGGAGACUUAACAGUUUGAUUAACGGAUGUAUGAGACUGUCCCAAAAUUUACACUUUAGGUAUGACUCUAGGACGAAAAAAAAAUUGAUGUACUAAAUGUUGAAAACCACGAAACAUGAGGGUAGUAAACAGUCUUUUGCCCUUUAGUUAUUUUAUAUAUGAGUACGUAUAUGAGUACUAUUAGUCUUAUUAUAUAAAAUAACUAAAUUAUGCACCAACCUUGUUAUUACCAGGUGAAAAAUCAUGGAAUUCCAGAGACAAUGAUAAAAAAACAUGUUGAGUAUAGCAAGAGAGUUUUUCAAAUUACCAUUGAGUACAUCUUCAACCUCUCACUUUCUGGUAAUUUGAAAAACUCUCUUGCUAUACUCAACAUGUUUUUUUAUCAUUGUCUCUGGAAUUCCAUGAUUUUUCACCUGGUAAUAAAAAGGUUGGUGCAUAAUUUAGUUAUUUUAUAUAAUAAGACUAAUAGUACUCAUAUACGUAGUCAAAUAUAAAAAAACUAAAUUAUGCACCAACCUUUUUAUUACCAGGUGAAAAAUCAUGGAGUUCCAGAGACAAUGAUAAAAAACAUGUUGAGUAUAGCAAGAGAGUUUUUCAAAUUACCAGAAAGUGAGAGGUUGAAGAUGUACUCAAUGGUAAUUUGAAAAACUCUCUUGCUAUACUUAACAUGUUUUUUAUCAUUGUCUCUGGAACUUCAUGAUUUUUCACCUGGUAAUAAAAAGGUUGAUGCAUAAUUUAGUUAUUUUAUAUUUGACUACGUAUAUGAGUACUAUUAGUCUUAUUAUAUAAAAUAACUAAAUUAUGCACCAACCUUUUUAUUACCAGGUGAAAAAUCAUGGAGUUCCAGAGAUAAUGAUAAAAAACAUGUUGAGUAUAGCAAGAGAGUUUUUCAAAUUACCAAUGAGUACAUCUUCAACCUCUCACUUUCUGGUAAUUUGAAAAACUCUCUUGCUAUACUCAACAUGUUUUUUAUCAUUGUCUCUAGAACUCCAUGAUUUUUCACUUGGUAAUAAAAAUGUUGAUGCAUAAUUUAGUUAUUUUAUAUAAUAAGACUAAUAGUACUCGUAUACGUACUCAAAUAUAAAAUAACUAAAUUAUGCACCAACUUUUUUAUUACUGGGUGAAAAAUCAUGGAGUUCUAGAGAUAAUGAUAAGAAACAUGUUGAGUAUAGCGAAAGAGUUUUUCAAACUGAAAAUAUGACUUUAGCCCCUGAAACUCAAGUUUCUUUACAUAAAACCCGACAUAGUCUUUUUAUCUGAAUAAAACCCAAUGACUAGGCUCCACAUAAGCAAAUUCAUUAAUUUUGCUUGCCUUUACACAUUUUACAUUUUGCAGAUGCCUAAAAUACCCCUAAUUACCGUUUUUAAUGUAAACAUUUAAUUCUAUGCAAAUUUGAAAAAGGAGAGAUUAAUGGAAAAAAAUGCAUUAAUGUUUAAAAAUAAUAAUAUGUCAUAACAAAUUGUAUGUUAAGGAAAAAAAGAACUAAUAAUGUUAUACUUUCCUUAAGAUUUCGUAAUUGUUUUUCAAAUUUGCAUAAAAUUAGACAAUUUUAAUUUAAUCUUGUCAUUUUCUUACCAAAUGAAAAUAUGAAAGAGCACUAUAAAAUAAUUUAGCUAUAUUUAAAAAAUAUAGGUAAAUUAUUUGGACAUGUGUAUUAGUAAUAAAUUUGCCCUGUAUAUGUAAUGAUACAUGUAAAAUAAUUUACUUAUAAAAUAAAAAAAUGUUAUUUGAUUUCAAAAAAAUAAAUUUAUCUAUUAUAAUUAUAUAUAAAUAUAGGUAAAUUAUUGCACACAUAUAUAUUAGUAGUAAAAUGUGCCCAAUAUAUAUAAUAAUGCAUGAAAAUAAUUCACCUACAAAUAAAGGAAAUUUGAUUAAAAAAUAAUAUAUCUACUACUUUUUGUUUAUAAAUUUCAAUUUCCUUUUUUUAUAUUACAAACAUAAUGUACCUACAAUAUAAUUUACCUAUUGUUUAAUCUUAUAAGAAAAUAAUGUAUCUACUGUUUUAUUUUUUAUUUAUUUUUUGUCGAAUAUCUACUGUUUUAUUUUAGUAGAGAUAAUUUGUCUUGGUUUAAUUCUUACGAAAUAAUUUAGGCACUGUUUAACUUUACCAAAAUAAUGGAACUACUAUUUUAAUUUACCUACAAAAUAAAUGCUAUUUGAUUCAAAAUUAAUUUACUUAUAUUUUACAUACAAAUAUAGAUAAAUUAUUUUUAACAAGCAUAUAUGAUAACAAACAAAAAAUGCCUAACGUAUGUAAUAAUCUAGGUAAAAUAAUUUACCUACAACAUAAAAGAGUAUUAAUUGGUUCUUUAUUGUUUUUUAUCCAACAAUAUUAUUUGAUGCAAAAUAACUGAUUGUACAAGGAUUUUUUUUUUCAUAUGAAAAAUGUGCCCAUAAUUGUUUAUGAACAUGGUUAAAUUAAUAUAUAUAUAUAUAUAUAUAUAUAUAUAUAUAUUCCUAAUAUUUACCAUACAAGAAAGGUGAAAUUUUCCAUAUGGGGUUAAUUACUAAUCAUAAUUAGGGUAAGUAAUAAUAUUUAUUGACAUAAUUAGGGUUUUGUGGCAUAAGUUGUAAAUAUGUGAUAAUAAUUGGUUACAUAUUUGUCUACAUGGUACUCUAUUUGAAAUUUGGGUUUUAUUUGGAUAUUUAAUAUUAGGUGGGUUUUUGUUUGGAAAAUAAGAGUUUCAAGGGCCAUUUUCUAAAGAACCCUUUUUCAAAUUACCACUGAGUACAUCUUCAACCUCUCACUUUCUGGUAAUUUGAAAAACUCUCUUGCUAUACUCAAUAUGUUUUUUAUCAUUGUCUCUGGAACUCCAUGAUUUUUCACCUGGUAAUAAAAAGGUUGAUGCAUAAUUUAGUUAUUUUAUAUAAUAAGACUAAUAGUACUCAUAUACGUACUUAGACUAAACAUGUAAUUAAGAAUAAGGUGGUGGGAUAUAUAUGCAAGGAAAAACAAAGGCACUAAGCAACAGUUAUGCAAAAGAAUAAAAAUAAUACUGUGUCGAAAUCAUUCCCCAAGCAUAUACAUAUAUGUGUGUGUGUUAAUUAUUACUUGGAAGAAACCAUCAGUUUGGCAUGCUAGACCAAUCUGUUUGAUAAUAUCAGAGUACUAGGGGCCAUGGAGGUCCUUGAGAUCAAUGAGAGUAAUGGAGGAGGCAUCUGAUGUCUGAACAUCAGUGAGAUUUGGACGGUCGGAGAAGGGUCUGAUGUAGUUUGAAGGGACAUGGUUCACACCAGACAUGAGGUCUGUGAGCAGUAGCUUUGUUGUGGAAGCCAUUUUGCUUACGACUGAAGAGAAAAGUUGCAAAACUAAGGAAACUUGCAGGUUUAGUGAACGGGGCUUUGGAUCCCUAUCCCUUUUUAUAGAAUAUGAGGAAGCACUAUUAUAUAGAAAAUGUUUUUUUUCCCCAAAAUUGUCACAUUAGUUUAAGAACUAUAUAUAUGCCUUGAAGGGUAAUUGCUAGAGAGGUUAAAUUUCUAAGUUAAAUUUUGUAAUGCCUUGAAUUAUUAUUUUAGUCUUGAUUAACGUACUUAUUUUUUAUUUAUGAUAUAUCAUUUGGUUUGUAAAUUUAAUUAUAAAUUUUGAUCUUCCUAAUAUUAUCCGUGCUUUGAUUCGUGAAAAGUUUAGAAAAAAAAAAAUAAAAUACACAUAAAAUUAUAGAAGUCAAAGUCAAAUUAUUACUUGUACAAUUAUAAAGCUCCGCUGAGCAAUUGUUUAGCUUGUGUAACAUGAUUUAGCUCAUCAGCUCUUUAAUCUUUAUCGUGCUGGAACAAAAAAUAAAACAAAAAAUUUCGCAUCAAUCCUGCCUUUUCAUGUGAGCUCACUUUCUGCUGCUGGUAUAGUACACGCGAUAGUUUAAAACGUGCCUCUCACGUUCAACACUACAAAAUUCCAUACAGAAUUUAUUGUGUGUUGUACAUUUGAGUGUAACUUUUUCUUGUAUCUCUCAUUCACGUAUUUUGUAUAUAUUAAAUUGGCGAAAAUAAAUUAUUUUUUUAUUUAGUUGAAGUAUAGUUUAUUUUCUCUCUUAUUAUGUAAUAUAUCUUUAUAUCUAAGCUAUCAUAAGCAUAUGUUCUUUCAGUAUAGAGUACAUUUGUUUCUUAUAUCUCUCUCUUCACAUAACGUAAAAAAUGUGUCUAUCUCGUCUAUUCUAACCAUUUGCCCUUUCUCUAUAAAGAUAUGGCAAUGCAAAGGAAACCAUUAGUUAUACGGAUGUAAACUGUACGUGUCUCUCCGUUCCGCGAGUUGAGUUUUAGAUGUUCAGCCCCAAAAAGAGUUGGGUUUGGUUGUUCUAGUUGUCAGGUCGGCAUGCACCAACUGUUGCUGACGCAUGUGAUGGAGAUCCACCACCUUCUCACUAUGGAGUACAGACAGAUUUAUGAGAGGUAGGCAAAUAACAUCUUUCUGCUAUGUCAUUCACUAAUGCAAUUUAUUUGCUUAAAGGAAUAUUCAAUUUAAGAUUUUUUAGUUAAAAUAAUUCUUGAGAUUUGAAUAACAUAUAACUUUAAUCACUGAGAUUUAAAAUUAAUAGAAGUGAUCCAUGAGAUUGUCCACCAUCCAUUAUUUUGGUAAUUUCAUUAAAAAAACUCCAUCAAGUUAAGGGUAUAACACAUAACUUUGGUCCCGAAAAUUUACAUAACACAUAAUAUUGGUCCCUGAUAUUUGCAUAACACAUAACUUUGGUCCCUAAGAUUAUCCACCAUCCAACAUUUUGGUCAUUCCAUUAAAAAGCUUAGGGACAACUUAACAGAGUUUUUUAAUGGAAUGACCAAAAUAAUGGAUAGUGGACAAUCUCAAUGACCACUUUUAUUGAUUUUAUAUCUCAGAAAUCAAAGUUAUAUGUUAUGAAAAUCUCAAAGAUCAAUUUGGCUAAAAAACCUCAAUUUAAUAGAAGAGAAAUGUGAAGGAGAUUUUUAUUAAUUCUCUGUACCUCACAGUUUAACGUCAUUUCUCGUGUUAAUAUUGUAAAUAUUGUGUCAAAAACACAAAGCAUCGAAAAAUUAAUAAAUAAUCUUACUUUGAGAGAGUCUUCUUAGCAUUUCUCAUAAAUAAAUAAAAUUACUUUCGAAACAGUAAGGAAAUAGAAGGAUGAAAUACUUUUUUAAUUGAAAUAGUACUAACCUUUUAAUUUUUAAAAGGUUAGUACUAUUAUGAUUAUAUAUAUAUACACACACGAGCGCCUUUUAUGUAAAUGAAUUUUCAUUUAAAAAAAAAAUGAUGUUUAGAUGUAGGGUUCACACCACAUCAAACUUUAACUAUCUAAAAUUUUUAUUUUAUAAGUCUCAAUUCAUAGAUUAUCCUUAUAAAAAUUCAAUUCAAUCUGAACUCAUUUGCCUAUUUAAUUAUCAAGAUAAAAUUUCAUUGUUUCUUAUAUAACAAAGUAUUCAUUAAUUUAUUUGAACUCAAUUAGAUGUCUUAAACAUUUCCGAUUUGGCUAUAAUAUUUUGUAAGGAUGAUCUAUGAGGUGCAACUUAACAAAUAGACGGUUCCAAUCGUUAAAAUUCGACGUGAUGUGGACCUUACAACUAAUCCUCAUUUUUAUAAAAAAAAAUGAGAAUCCCUUCUUUUAAAUGUUUCAUAUAUAUAAAUAUAACAACAUAAUUUCUUUUGAAUCAGAUGUCAUUUGACAGUUUUGUUUUGAUAUGAGGAAACAUACGGAUGAAAAUAUUGAAUUCAAUUUACAUAGUUUUGUUUUUUUAUUUUGAAAGCUUAAGAAAAAGUUGAAUAAAAAUAGACUAUGUUGUUGCAAUCCUAUUAGAUUAGGAAUGUGAUUUUCUAAAUUUUAGUAGAUAUGGGAAUGUAUCUUAUAUUCCUAUUAGGAGUAGAUUACCUAUUAAAUGUUGUAAUCCUAAAGGGAAAGGUUUUUACCUAUCAUACUACUAUAAAUAAAGGCACAAUGGGGUGUAAUAGAACACACCCACAAUUACACAUCUCUCUUCUUCGCUAUCUAUGCCGCACCCCUCUCUCUUUAGCCUCCUUAAUUAUUCAGUAAAUUAUACCUAGAACACGUUAUCAGCACGCUAUUGACGCUGUGCUACCAAGAGAAUUUAUUCUUUAAUCUGAGGAGUAUUACGUUUUAAUCAUUCUUUUUAUAAUUAAUUUAUUAUUUUAUUGAAUUGAUCUACAUGAUAUUGAUUCAAUUUAAUUUUUUUUUGUGUUGAACGUGAUACAACGCAUUGGAAAUGCUAUUUCGGCUUUCGAGAAGGAUUUUCUACAAAUUCAAAGGCUUUUAUUGUUUUCUGCCCAUCAGGUACGCUUAAAAUAAAGUAAGAUAUUUGAAUCGACCAUGAAGCAUGAAAAUAUUCCUCAUGAUGCAUGAACCCCCUAUGUUUAUAUUUUCCUUCCGAUAUAUAUAUAUAUAUAUAUAUAUAUAUAUAUAUAUUGUAUAUGUUCAUAUAUUUGUUUCUUGCACUACGCAAUUGUAUUUGCUAUGUGGAAUUUGUGAGUCAAAUUAUAUAAAAUAAAUUAGAAGAAAUUUAGGGUUUUCAAACCCUAAUUCUGUCGAAAAAAUAUAUGGGCACUUGCAGCACCACCACCACAGACACCUUGGACCCCUCACAGUAGCAGCCCUAGGGCUUUGCUGCGCUAAUCCAGACCAUUAGACCUUUCGGCCUAUCUCUGUUUAUAGGACAUGCAGUCCCUAAGCCCAAAACCAGCAGAUUAUGGCCCAUUAUCCCGUGUCCCUUGGCCCGUGAACUCACUAGGCUUCGCCCGAAUCUCGACCUACUUGCCAGCAGCUUUGGCUGCUGGGCUUAAGUUGCCUCAGACCUAACCCGCAGGCCAACAUUUUGUUAGGCCUGAUCCGUGCCCCUCCUUUAGCCCAAAGAGCCAGCAGCUACUGCUGCUGGGCUCUAUGUUCUUGGCCCAUGGCCUGAAGACCAUUUUGUGGGCUGCUUUUAUAGCCAUACCCAACCCGAGCCCCUCAUUUGGCUCACGGCACCGAGCCUUAUCUUUUAGGCUAUGGUAUUUUCGACCCAACGCUAUUAUUUAGCAUUUUAAAUCAUUUUAACCCAAAUGUUAUUAUUAAUUUUGCUUCUACGAUCGACCCAGAAUGGUCCCGAUCUAUUGAAUUAAUUAAAAGUGACCUACAGUCCAUUAAUCUGAUAAUGAAUCCAAAAUUAUUGACCCGAAGAUCAUUUUUGGACAUUAACAAUUCAAUAGUAUAUUUUUAUACUUUGAACCGUUGACAUACUUUCGUAUUCCCGAAGCACUCACACUUGAGUUCCUGAAACAACCCAAAUCCACUACACUUAGUUGUAUAUUGCAUUAUGUGUUCUUGCAGGAACCUCUCUUUUAUGAACUAAACGUUCAUAAACUAAAUUGAACCUGUAGUGUUAAAUUUAGUGUCUUUGAAACCUGAAGAUUUCAUAACACAAUAUACCCAUGAAAACCAUGUCUUAUAACUCGAAUGUUCUAACUUUGAUGCUUAUGGAUGAUUCAUUCCCAUAACACCAAUCACAAUCUUGUUCCCUCCAAAUUUAAUGGAUUGUCGAACCGUCACAAGUUUGAUUUCCCUAAUUUGGAUGUUUCUAAUAGAAACUACUUUAUGUGGGGUACAAGACAUGAAUCUCCACUUGAUUAUCAAGAAGCUGAGAAGCCAUUGAAGUCAACAAUAGCAUGGAAGAGCUAAAUAAGCCUCCACCAUGAUCUUCAUUCGAAGACUUAUGCUCAAAGCAUUACAAAUGGAAAUACCUCUUGAUCGAGGAUUCCAUGGCUCUUUAGCUCGCUUCUACGGACUGUCUAAUCAUGAAAGACAUUGCCUAAAGCAUACCAUGAUUAGGUCCAUGAAUGAGUACAAUUCUGAAGUUUAAAAUCCGAUCGAAUUUUGACUGGAGAAUACUUUUCUCAUUUUUCCUUGUUUCUAAAUCGCCCCUAAAGUAGCAGUGUAGAUAGCGGAAGUUUACCAAAUUCUCGAAUCUAAUUACUACCAUAAACGUGAGAGAAAGGUAUGGACCCAGUUCGGCUGGAGUCUACCGAAUAGCUCGACCCAGUUCGAUCAAAGCCUACCAAAUGGUGAUACACUGCUUUGGCAGGGAUACACCGAAUGGAAUAUUCUCUCACAAUCCAAUUUUGAGUUUGUUUUUACAACAUAUGGUAGAAUCAGGGCCUGCCAAGGUGUGCAUCAUGCCCGAAGCAUGAUCCUUGGUACCUAAGACCUAAAACUUCAAGAAUAAGGGAUAGUAUUCCUAAAGCCUUAACCCUGCAGAAUCUAUUUCCGUCUCGAUGAAAUAGAUCAUUGGUUAUGUACCUAUUUGUGCCCCUACCAAUGUUGUUGAGGAGUACCAUUUUAGUAGUCAAUAUGUGAGACUAACUUUGCUUCACCAAACACCAUUGGAAGAAUAAAAUUUUGACAUGGAUGGCCUUGUUGGCCGAAUCCCCUUAGUAAACCAUUUACUUUAUGAACAUUUUUCCAUGUUCUUGGAUUCAUGUUUAGUGUAUGUUUUACUUAUGGAUAAUCUUAUUAAUAUUGUCCUCGACCAGCUGCAAGAAUCUGAUGGUCAGAUUUUACUUGAUCAUCAGAGGUUUAUGGGUUUGUUCCAAAGGCAUGUAUUGCCUUCGUUUUCUGCGGCUGUACCGCGUAAUGAAGCUCCAAAUGAUCGACCUUCGGUGCCUCCUCCUUCUGGGGUUCUACCUAGUACUGAGGCUUCGAAUAAUCACCCUUUGGUGCCUCCUCUUUCUGGGGCUCUGCCGACUGCUGAGACUUCUCUUGAGCAACCUUUGUGAAUGCUCCCUCUUGUUUGUUUAUUUUGAUUCAUGUAUAUGUACAUAUUUGUAACUUAUCGGAGAUAUCAAUCAACAAGCUUUGCUUCAUUUCAACGUAUUGUGUUAAAUACACCAAGGCCUUCUUCACUAAGUUCUUUGAAUUUUUCCUUAUGUUGAAGCUUAUAUGUUGAAGCUUUGUGAAUGAAGCAUGCAGGUUGAGGUAUUGCUCCCUUAAUUUCCUGAGUGAGGAAAACUUCUCGUUUGGAGACUUGAAAAAUCCAAGUCACUGAGUGAUCGUGAGACUUCUGAGUAUCAAGGUGCAGUAGCAUAUGGUAGGAGUCCCCCAAGUCUCCGGUCGAGGGAGUUGACGAAUGAGGCAUUUCCUUUCUAAGUGGUAGCCCAAAACUCCUUCUUCAUAUAUAUUUGUUAUGAAAGUUGUUAGGCCCAAAGAAGAGGAGGCCUAGGCAAUUUUUUUUUUCGAAAUUUGUUUUUUCGAUUUUUUUUUUCGAAUUUUCGAAUUUUUGAAUUUCCAAAUUUUUGAAUUUUCGAAUUUCCAAAAAAAAAAAUUAAAUAUAUAUAUAUAUAUAUUUUAAAGCUUUGUAGGUGAAGCUUUGGUGUUGAAUCUUUGUAGGUGAAGCUUUGAGGUUGAAGCUUUGUUGGGCGCCAUGAAUUGAUUUUGCUUCACACUAUCUUGAUCAAGAUAGUGUGAAGCUUUUGUAGGUGAAACUUUUGUGUUGAAGUUUUGCAGGUGAAGCUUUUGUGGGUCAAGCUUUUGUAGGUGAAGCUUUUGUGGGUCAAGCUUGUGUAGGUGAAGCUUUUGUGGGUCAAGCUUGUGUAGGUGAAGCUUUUGUGGGUCAAGCUUUUGUGGGUUGAAGUUUUGCAGGUGAAGCUUUUGUGGGUCAAGCUUUUGUAGGUGAAGCUUUUGUGGGUCAAGCUUUUGUGGGUCAAGCUUUUGUAAGUGAAGCUUUGGAGUUGAUCAAGAUAGUGUGAAGCUUUUGAGAAUUUGUAGUUGUCCUCCAUUGAUGAAACUUUUGUUGGUGAAGCUUUUGUUUUGAAGCUUUGUAGGUGAACCUUUGGAGUUGAAGCUUUUUUUGGAUACCAUGAAUUGAUUUUGCUUCACACUAUCUUGAUCAAGAUAGUGUGAAGCUUUUGAGAAUUUGUAGUUGUCCUCCAUUGAUGAAGUUUUUGUUGGUGAAGCUUUGGAGUUCAAGCUGUUGUUGGGUACCAUGAAUUGAUUUUGCUUCACACUAUCUUGAUCAAGAUAGUGUGAAGCUUUUGAGAAUUUGUAGUUGUCCUCCAUUGAUGAAGCUUUGUUGAAUUUCCCAAUUUUUUUUAUUUUUUAUUUUUUUUGGGAAACUAGAAAUUUGAAAAUGUGGGAGAGACAACAUAUACAAAUUUUGCUUCCACACUGUUGAGCAAGAGAUUGUGAUGCAAGCCACACCUUGUCGUAGUCGAAGGUUUGGAUGAACCAUAUAAAUUGAAUUUGCUUCGAACAGUCUUGAAUUUGCUUCGAAGGUUUGAGAAUUGUAGUUGCCCUCAAUUGAUGAAGCUUUUGUUGGCACCAUAAAUUGGUUAUGCUUCACACUAUCUUGAUCAAGAGUGUGUGAAGCUUUUGAGAAUUGUGGUUGAAAUCAUUUGAUGAAGCUUUUGUUGGCACCAUAAAUUGGUUUUGCUUCACACUGUCUUGAUCAAGAGUGUGUGAAGCUUUUGAGAAUUGUGGUUGCCCUCCAUUGAUGAAGCUCUUGUUGGCACCAUAAAUUGGUUUUGCUUCACACUGUCUUGAUCAAGAGUGUGUGAAGCUUUUGAGAAUUGUGGUUAAACUUCUUUGAUGAAGCUCUUGUUGGCACCAUAAAUUGGUUUUGCUUUACACUGUUUGAUCAAGAGUGAGUGAAGCUUUUAAGAAUUGUGGUUGAACUCCUUUGAUGAAGCUCUUGUUGGCACCAUAAAUUGGUUUUGCUUUACACUGUCUUGAUCAAGAGUGUGUGAAGCUUUUGAGAAUUGUGGUUGCCCUCCAUUGAUGAAGCUCUUGUUGGCACCAUAAAUUGCUUUUGCUUCACACUGUCUUGAUCAAGAGUGUGUGAAGCUUUUGAGAAUUGUGGUUGAACUCCUUUGAUGAAGCUCUUGUUGGCACCAUAAAUUGCUUUUGCUUCACACUAUCUUGAUUAAGAGUGUGUGAAGCUUUCUACGAGUUGUAGUGUUUGCAUUGUUACAGAGGGGAAAUGUUUGAAACAGAUGCAAGAGGGCUGAAUAGCUUGAUCUUCGUAUGCCAUGCACUGAAGUUGUUGUUGGCUUGUAAUAAGACUUUGUUGGUGACUAUAACUCUUGUUAGGCAUAAGUGCUCCCCUAGUUGAGUUGUCAAGCUUGAGGGUUUUUGAUUAUUUGUGAAUGCUAGGAGUUCACAUGUACAAGUUGUACCACUCCUCUUCUGGUAGGUGUAAUGAAUGGUGAGUUACUUUCAUCACUUGGUUGGUGGUACGAAUGUGAGUUCCUUCAUCACCUUUCAUCACAUUUCAUCACCUAGUUGGUGGCACGAGGAUGAGUUCCUUCUUCACCUGGUUGGUGGUAUGAAUGGCAAGUUGCCAAAUGAUAUUAGAGUACAGGUUGUACAUUUCAUCACCUAGUUGGUGGCAUGAGGGAGAGUACAGGUUGUACAUUUCAUCACCUGGUUGGUGGCAUGAAGAUGAGUUCCUUCUUCACCUGGUUGGUGGCAUGAGUGGCAAGUUGCCAAAUGAUAUUAGAGUACGGGUUGUACAUUUUAUCACCUGGUUGGUGGCAUGAAGGAGAGUACGGGUUGUACAUUUCAUCACCUGGUUGGUGGCAUGAAGAUAAGUUCUUUCUUUACAUUUCAUCACCUGGUUGGUGAGAAUAAUGGCAAGGUGUUUAGGCACAUUGUAGCAAGUGUCGAAUGAUACAAAGUAUGUUAAACCCUUUCAAAGCACAGUUGGCUUAUAUAUGAAUGUGUUGGAAUGUAUGAUUGAACGAAUAUACUGUGAAGCUGUUCGUUUAUUUGUAUAGUCCUGUUGACAUAUACUUAGACUUUGUUUCAUGUUGGAAGCAUUCAUGUUGAAGCUUUGAACCCGAGUGUUUCAUUGCUAGGAAUGUAAGAGGAUUAGGAUCGAGUUAUCUAAAUCACCAUUUUAUUGAAUUCAUGCCAAAUAGUCUUUAUUACAUAGGAUGCCGAACGGCUGAAGCUUAACACUUGUACAAUGUGAGUUUACUUGUAAUAGUACUUCAAGUGAUCAGCGUUCCAUGGAUGGCCAAGGGUCUUGCCAUCGGAGCUUCUAAGCUUGUAGGAGCCAGGGCGACUGAUGCCAACAACUUCAAACGGUCCAUCCCAAUUUGGACUAAGUGUUCCUUCACUCGGGACUCUGUCGCAGAGUAAUCUUUUCUUUAAUACCCAGUCCCCUACUUUAAAAGAACGAGGUUUGACCCUGGAGUCAUAGUAGUUGGAGAUGCGCUGCUUGUAGGCGACAUUCCUCAAGUGAGCCUGGUUUAUGUGUUCCUCAACUAAAUCUAAGUUGAGGGUAAUUUGUUUGUCAUUUUCGCUUUGCAUGUAGUUCUGGACUCGGAACUUUGCUUGCUCAAGCUCAACUGGGACAACUGCCUUUGUACCAAAGGCAAGUGAGAAUGGGGUUUCUCCUGUUGAUGUUCGAUAUGAAGUGCGGUAUGACCAAAGAACUUGGGGUACAAAUUCUGGCUAACAACCUUUAGCCUUGUCCAAGCUGAUUUUCAAAGUUCGCUUGAUUAUUUUGUUGAUGGCUUCAACUUGUCCAUUAGACUGGGGAUGAGCUGGAGAGGUAAAACAUAAGUUGAUGUUGAACUUAGAGCAGAACAUCCUGAACUUAUUGUUGUCGAACUGUCGCCCGUUGUCAGUGACUAUCGGAUUGGGAAUGCCAAAUCUGCAAAGGAUGUUCUUCCAUACGAAGUCUUCUAUUUUUGCCUCAGUAAUGGUUGCCAAGGGUUCUACUUCGGCCCACUUUGUGAACUAGUCAACUGCAACUAUUACAUAGCGGACAUUACCCUUCCCUGCAGGCAUUAGGCCAAUCAAAUCAAGUCCUCAUUGGGCCAAGGGCCAAGGGCUGAUCAUAGGAGUGAGCGGCUCGGGAUGAGAGUGAGGAAUAGUUGCGUAGUGUUGACACUUAUCACAUGAGCGAGAUAUUCUGAUGGCAUCUUGGUGGAGUGUUGGCCAGUAAUAUCCUUGGCAAAAAGCCUUGUGUGCUAGGGAUCAAGAUCCAGCAUGAUCUCCGCAGACUCCUUCAUGUAUUUCUCGAAGGACAAUUUCCGCCUCUGCAUACGUAAGGCAUCUUAGGUAUGGUAGGUUAAAACCCCGUUUGUAGAGUUGGUCAUUAAUGAUCAAGUAACGGGUAGCCUUGUAUCGAAUCUGCUUAGCUUGGACUUUGUCAUUUGGAAGAGUGCCAUGAGCAAGGAAUCUAUAAAUCGAGGUAAUCCAACUAUCCCCCUGUUGUAAGUUGUACACUUCUACAGCCUUGGUGCUGCCAACAAUUCGACCUGAAUUUUUCUUCCAAUCUUGUCUUCCACCGCUGAGGCGAGGUGAGCCAAAGCAUCUGCAUGACUGUUUGCCGUUCGAGAAAUUUGGGUGAUCUAGUAGAGGAAGUGCUUGAGCAACAAUUGUGUUUGUGCCAGAUAGGCUGCCAUGGAGCUAUCCUUAGCGUCAAAGUUGUUGGUGACCUGGUUAACCACCAAUUGGGAGUCACUGAAAAUAUCAAUUCGUUUAACCCCAAGGUGUUUAGCCAAACGUAAGCCUGCUAGGAGGGCUUCAUAUUCGGCCUCAUUAUUCGACGCCUUGAAUUUGAAAAGAAUAGCAUACUCCAUCGCCACUUUGUCAGGGGUUGUAAGGACUAGUCCUCCUCUACAACCCUGUUGGUUGGAUGAGCCAUCAACAUAUAGACUCUAUGAUGGGGCUGUUGGUUCUAUUUUCUGAGCUUCCGAGGGUAAUGAAACCACUUCUUUAGGCAUAGAAACAAUGUCAACAGGAUAUGUGAAGUCGGCGAUGAAGUCUGCCACUACUUGGCCCUUCUCAGCUAGCUUUGGUUGGUAGGAGAUGUCAAACUCACCCAAUGCUAUCGCCCAUUUGAUCAUUCGCCCGUAAGUUUCAGGACUUUGGAGUAUCUAUCGAAGAGGAUGAUUAGUAAGCACAAUGAUGAAGUGUGCUUGGAAGUAAGGGCGAAGUUUUCGAGCAGACAUGACCAAUGCUAGAGCCAAUUUCUCAAUGUUGGAGUAUCGUGUCUCCGCAUCUUGUAAGGCAUUGCUAGCGUAGUAGACAUGUCGUUCGACAUUACCAUUCUUUCGAAUGAGUACGGAAUUUACUGCUGAAGCCGAUACCGACAGAUAGAUAAUGAGAGUGUCACCAACCUCAGGUUUGGAAAGCAUAGGGGUUUUACUCAUGUAGUCUUUGAGGUUCUUGAAUGCCUCAGCACAUUCAUCAGUCCAUGUAAUGUACUUCUUACUUCUCUUAAGUGCUUUGAAGAAGUGAGCACAUCUGUCUGUGGCCUUAGAGAUGAACCUAGUUAAGGCUGCCACCUUGCCAGUAAGGCUCUAGUUGUUUUUUAAAAUUACCGGUUCCUUCAUGUCGAGGAUUGCUUUGAUCUUCUCGGGAUUAGCCUUAAUGCCUCGUUGGCUUAUCAUGAAGCUUAAGAAUUUGCCAAAGCCUACGCCGAAGGCACAUUUGUUGGGGUUCAAUCUCAUUCAAUACCUCUUCAAAAUGGUGAAAGUUUCAGAUAGGUUGGUGAUGUGUUGGUCAGCAUGUUUUCUCUUGACUAGCAUAUCAUUAACAUAAACUUCCAUGCUCUUCCCAAUCUAUUCAGCGAACAUUGAAUUGACCAGUCUCUGAUAAGUCGCUCCUGCAUUCUUUAGGCUGAAAGGCAUGACUUUACAACAAUAUAGUCCCCUGUCAGUAGUGAAGGCUAUGUGUUCUUGGUCCGGAGGGUUCAUGAGGAUUUGGUUGUAUCAUGAGUAAGCAUCCAUGAAGCUCAGAAGUUCACACCCUGCCGUAGAGUCUAUAAGUCUGUCUAUGAGAGGAAGAGGAAAGCUAUCCUUCGGGCAUCAUUUGUUUAGGUCGGUGUAAUCGACACACAUUCUCCACAAGACCUUUUGGAGCAGGAGACUUUCCUUGGUCAGAUUCUUCUUAACAAGGACAACAUUUGCUAUCCACGUUGGAUAAUUGACUUCGCGGACGAAGCCUAUGCCUUUGAGUUUUUCAACUUCUGCCUUCAUUGCCUCGUACUGUUCAGCGUUAUAAGAUCUUCAUUUCUGUCUCAUUGGCUUGGUCUUGGGUCAAUACUUAAGCGAUGACAGAUUAUAUCGGGAGAGAUGCCUGGCAUGUCCUCGUAUAACUAGGCGAAAACCUCAGUGUUCUCUUGCAAAAAAGAGAUCAAUGCCAACCGAAUGGGUGGUAACAAGGUGGUACCAAUCUUCACCAUGUUAUCUGGAUAAUCUUUUGAGAUAGAGACCUUCUCUAACUCUUUAGCGGGUUGUGCUUACUGGAUGAAAGAGUCAUCUCGAGGAUCAUCGGGUUGACUAUUGCCACCGUGAAGAUCCAAGUUGGCUUCGUCUGGGCUGGUCUUUAUGACUUGGUCAUGUAUAGAAAGGGUUUCCUUGGGCACAUACAGGUGCUGUUGCUUGACCGAAGUGUUGUAACAUGAUCGUACACUAAGUUGAUCUCCUCUGAUGUAACCAUUGCCAUAGGGGGUUGGAAAUUUCAUCAACAACAUAUGUGUGGAUACCAUGGCCUUGAGAUUAUUGAUGCAUGUGCGUCCGAAGAUGACAUUGUAUGUCGUUGGGUAAUCAACCACCAGGAAGUUAGUGGUAAUGGUAGCUGUGUAAGGGCCUAUACCAAUGGUGAAAGGUAAGUGUAUGCUUCCCAAAGGUUGCACGAUAUCACCGGAGAACCUUAUCAGAGGGGAAAUCGAGUGGUCGAGCAAGUGUUCAGCUACAUUAAGUGCCCUAAAAGCUUCAGCAAACAUGAUAUUGACCGAAGCCCCCGUGUCUACCAGGAUUCAUCGUACUUCAAAAUUGGUUAUGUGAGCUUCCACGAUCAGUAGGUUGUUGUGAGGGUAGAUGAUACCUCUUUCUUCCUCAGGGUAGAAACAUAUUGGAUCCCAGUUAGGCUUUUGAUACUUACCUCCCCUGAUGUCUUCCACGUGAAACACUUGGUAGCCAGACCUUAAAGCUCGUUCACUAUUUUUCAUGGCCCUGUUGGAAGAUUUAGAUAUGGGUGUGCCACCACUUAUCGAAUAUCACAUUCACCUGGCGUUGGUUAUGGUUACCCCUUAGAGGGUGAAGGAGGAAUUGUUCAAUUUUUCUUUCACGUGCCGAAGCUUCAACAUGAUCACGAAGGGUGAUAAACUUCUCGCCGUCAUGGCCGUUAUGCUCGUGGUAGCAGCAAAACGUGCCCGUGUUCUUCGUGGGCUUGUAAUCUGGGUGCCUCGACUUUGGCUUUGGUAUCAAGCAUGCUAUGCAGGGGUAAAUGGCCACGCAUGUGGCGUUCAAGGGUGUGUAUGACUCAUACCUCAGGGUAGGGGCUGUCCUGACACGUGCUUGACCCACUGUGUUGACUGCCUGGGGCUGGGGAUUAUCACGGCGAUACCCUUGGUUAUCGCAGUAGUGUCCCUUACUCCUUUUACUAAAAUGAGACUGGUGAGGAUGUAAAUCUUUCCUUUUUCCCUGAGAUUGAUAUGUUUGUUGACUUGGCAAAGUAUUAAGUAAGGCAGAGGGAGGCACCACUGCUGUUUGGAAGUUCGAUGUCUUUUCAUUUGGUUGGAUCUGGCUUCCACUCCCUACUUGCUGAUAAGGGGUGGCUGUGGGGGGUUUUCCUUAAUAUGUCUUUGCCUCGGCGGAGGCAUGGUUGUAAGCAUGUGCCAUCACCUCAGAGUAAGUCUUCCAAGUGUUGGCAUUGAUCAUGUACUUAAAGAAACAGUCACGUAGGCCUGCCGUGAAGGCUUUGAGGGCAGUCUUGUCGUCUGCCUCGGCAUAACGGGAAUACUCAUGGCUGAAGCGGCCAGCAUACAUACAUAAUGACUCGUCUGACUUCUGGCGAAUAGUGUACAAGUCAUCUGCAGAAUGCAAGCGAUCGGUCUGGAAGAUAUGUUGAGAGACAAACAGUUUCCUCAGUUCCUCAAAUGAGUCUAUUGUCUCAGGUGGAAGACGGCAAUACCAGUUUAGAGCUCUGCCAGAGAGGAUGGAGGAGAAGAGAAGACAUCGCUGUUCGUCGGUGUGCAUCUGAUAUGCCAUGGUGGACUCAAAAAGGUUAAGGUGUUCAAUUGGGUCCUCCCUUCCAGUAUAGAGUUGUAAACCAAGCUUUUGUUUUAUCUUCGCUUGAAGGGGGGUGUCGAGGAUCCUUCUUGUGAGAGGGCCAGGCCUAGGUUGGUUCCAGUCAAGUAUCUCUGCCUGACGUUCAGCCUUCAACUUGUUUACUUCCUCAAGGAGCUGUAGAACAUGGGGGUCCUGAGUGGAGACAUGUACCACUGGGAUUUUCUUUCGUAAGUCUCCAUCGCCUCUUGGAAGUAGGAAAGUUUGAGCAAGGGCGUGUGAUUUUUCCUUGGACUCGCCGUAUUGACUUCUAGGGCAUGUGAUUUUUCCAUGUACCCAUGUACCUUCAUGUUCCUCUGGGACUUGUCGUUCUUUCCCUAGAUUAGCAGCUGGCCUAGGUCAUGGGUGGAAACCGAGUCUUUCAGAAACCCUUGGGUUAUUGAUCUUAGAGCAUAUGUGGAGGGGAUUCUCUUGACGUUGCUUUAGGAAGUCUCGGCAAUCACGAUAAACGGCUUUCGAUCCUUCCAACCCUUCUGCAAGGAUGUGUCUUCCUCUAUUUCUCCUGCUUCAGGUCGAAGCAGCUGGGUUGAGAGAAGUCUCAUGUUGAUCAAUGUUUUGAUGAUUAGCUCGCUCCUCAUCAGGGAUACCCAUGUCGAAGGAAGGUGACCUUCCGUGUUGGGGGGCACCCAGGUGAUGAUUGAUGUCCACAGGGGUAACGAGCUCGCAUGUUUGAGUACGCCUAGUUUCGUGGAGCAUCUCAAAGAGCUUCUCAUACUCCUCUUGGAGGACCUCAUUCUUCAUUGCUAUCUUGUUGUUCUGAGCUUCUAACUCAUCGACUUUAGCUUGAAGAGCAACCCUCUUUCCUUCAUUCUUUCGUUGCUUCAUACUAGGUGCAAGAUGGGUGUCAUUCUGUGUGUUGUGGCUUCCUUCGCUCCCCAUGUUAGAGACAGAUGCCUGGUCAAAAGAGAGUGUAUGGAUGGUGGAAACUAUCUUGACAAAGCUGAAGAGAGUGGGAAUAAGUGUCGUUCUCAUAGACGGUGUCAAAUGUUGAUGCACAAAAUCAGCGAGGACUUUGGUACAACAGAAAGUGUUAAGUUUGUAACCUUCGCUAGAUUGCUCCGGUCACUAGUGUGGGUAAGUAUGUAAUAGAUAGGGACAGGGAAGCAAACACAAUAUGUACGUGGUUCACCCAGAUUGGCUACGUCCACGGAGUAGAAAAGUUCUCAUUAAUUGUGAAGGGUUUACACAAGUACAUAAGUUCAAGCUCUCCUUUUGUGAGUACUGGUGAAUGAUUUAGUAUAAAUGAUAUUAGGAAAUAUUGUGAGAGAAUGAUCUCUAUUUAUGGAAUAAAGUUUUUAGUUUCAUUCUGACAUUGACACGUGUCGUGUUGUGAUUGGCUUCUGAUGUUGACACGUGUCGCACUAUGAUUGACUUCUGAUGUUGACACAUGUCGCACUGUGAUUAGCCUCCUGGUUGUAGGGAAACUAACUCUUCUGGGUCCUUGAUGGUAUAACGUUGACCGAUGCUCAGUAGUUUCGGGAUUGGUCAAGUAUGGUACAAACAACUUCUCUACCACAAUGAGAAAAUAUUUAUACAUUUUAUUUUUUCUUCUUCUGCCUUAUCUCUCUUCCCUCUCGGCAUUCUCCCCGACUGCUACUCCCGUUCUAACAAAAAAACCAAAAAUCAUCAAUUUCAUCUCCUCCUCCAAAUCAACACUGCCAUGCAUUAAUUUUAAUUCGCACCCGAACUCUUAGAACCCUCGAACUCAGUUUGGUGGGAGAGAAAGCAGAAACUAGCCGAAAGCCCUAUUUGGUUAGGUUUUUAUAUAUUUGAUAAUUAUUAUUUCUUCGCUGUUGUAGGCCUUAGUUUAUUAGCCGCUUUCUACAUAGGUCUUUGUUUAUUAGCCCGAGUAAUGUUAGGGAGAUCAAAUUUUUUAAAUCAAAUGAUAUGGUUGUAGAUGAUUAGCUUAGUAAUUAAGUAUCGAUUUGUUUCUUAUUUGUAACACAUUAUUUAAUUUUCAAGUUUAAUUUCUAAAAUAUAAUCUCCAUAACAUUAUCUUUAUUAGCCACUUGUUGGCAUAGGUCUAAAAAAUUAAUAAACAUAAAUUACAACCUGUGUGGCUAUGUCAGCAAGUGGCUAAUAAACAUUUUUAAGCAACAAUUAAGGUUGCUAAUAAACAUAGGUUGAUCUAGUGAUUGAAAUUUAUAUCGUUCAUCAAAUCUAAUGAUCAUAAGUGCUCUGUCACUCCGGCUGCUCCGGAAAAAAAAAAUCAUAAAAUGGUUGACACAACAUUUUGGUGGAAAAAGAAAAAACAAGAAAUUACUCAAACUAUUUAUUUUUUAUUUUUUUGGGGGCAGAAAAUAGAACUUAAUCUUUGAGCUAGAGUUCUUGAAUUCUGUAGAUAAAGUAGCAAAUCCGCUUUGAAAUCAAAUUUGAGAUUUCAAAUUUCUAUAACUGAAAUGUUCAAGUUUAAGCAGGGGCGGAGCCACCAAGGGACUAGGGUAGUCCCCGGCCCAUCCUGACUUCAUUUGAGGUGUGAACCUCAUGGAAGAAGAUGAAGCAAAUGACAUCAUUAAGCUGUUUUGAUUUUAAAUCUUUUCGGCUGUCUAAUGAAACGAUAAGUUUGGCAGGGGAGUUUUAAAAGAGAUGCACAAUUUUAAAUGGAAAAAGCAACCCCACUUCUGAUUCGAUUCUCUCACCUAACAGUAAUAUACACCCUAUAAUUUUCUAAAGCAACCCACCUUCUUUAUUAGCAGACCUCUUCCCCUUUUCCUUCUUUUUCUACUUCUUUGUAUUUUCUUUAGCCUUCCACAACCUUCCACAACCUACCUCUUACUUGGUUGUCUUAGUUUUUACAUUUUUUUCUUCUUAGUAUUGAAUUUAAGAGAUUUUUUUCAGUUUUGUGAGGAUUACACAAAUUGCAUAUGUCAACAUGUUAUGAAUUCAAAUUUUUACACACACUCAUAUACAUACAUAUUUGUGAAAAGCCCAUCCUCAUUCAUAAUUCUGGCUCCGCCACUGAGUUUAAGUAGAGUAGAUAUAUAGAUGCAGCAGUCCACGUUUUAUAGAAGUGACUUCAAAUAAGUUAUGUUGAGUUUGGCAAUGUUUUAGAAUCCGACGGUCCUGAUUGUCAUAUUAUUGCAUCAAAAUUGAGCCGUUUUACUCUCUAUUUCUCUCUCACACUCUCUUUUUCUAAGAGCAACUCCAGCGUUGCUGGUUGCUCAGGGGACAGGCAAGGAGAAAGGACCCGACGGCCGGGGGAUGGGGAUCCAGCGUUGCUGGUUGCUCGGGGGACAGGCGAGGAGAAAGGGCCCGAGCGACAGGCCCGAGCGAGGAUUGCCAGCCCGAUAGCCUGAGGGCUGUGUGACGUAUGGCUGAUGUGCGGCAUCGAUGCAUGCGCUCGGUGUUCUCUGCGUCCUCCUUCCUCCUUCCUCCUCGUCCUCCUUCCCCUCCUCGCCCUCCUUCCUCCUCGGUGUUCCAUGGCUGCUGCUGAGAGAGAGAGAGAGAGAGAGAGAGAGAGAGAGAGAGAGAAAGGACCGGUCCUCCUUCCUCCUCGGUGUUCCAUGGUUGUUGCUGUGAGAGAAAGAGAGAGAGUACCGGUCAAAAUUAGGAAAAAAUAAUAAUAUUUUAUGGAUUGGGUGAGAAAAAUAAUAAUAUUUUAUGGAUUGGGUGAGAAAAAAAAUAUUAAUAUUUUAUUACUAAUUGCCAGGGGGAAGGGUUUCAAGGGUGGAGAUGCAAAUGGCAAUUACUAUUUAUUAAGGGCAGUUACUGUUCACUAGGUGGAUUGAAUAGUGGAUUGCCAGGGGGAGGGCUCCAAGGGUGGAGUGCUCUAAGGGAUGUGAUAGACACACACUCCAUUUUACUUUUCAAACACCCUUUUAAUUUUCGACCGUUGGAUCGGAUAAAUUGAAGAAAAUCAACAGAUAUAAAUUAAUAAAGAGUGUAUGAAGUAAUUUGUGAUGUGUAUAUAGCACAACACUUUUCUAAAAGACAACUACUUUAUUAAGUGGAAUGAUUACCAACAACUUUUCGUCUUUUCCAAAUGAGAAUGUCUGCAAGACUGCUACUUUCAAUUUUGUUUGAAACAAAAGUCAUCGUGACUUUUACAAGGUUGAGUGGCUUUGACACGGUGUAAAUCCACACACGGAAUGAGUCACAACUUUAACAUUCUUCAUAUUUAAAAUACAAAAUUAAAAACUAAGAAGUGUAAUACUAGGGGAACAAUUUAAUUAACUUUUGUAAGAAAUAUGACGUAAUUGUUGAUGAUUAAAUUAUUACUUAAGUAUUGAUUAACGUAAUCAUUUUUUAUUAAUGAUAUAGCACAUGCUUUACAAAUUUGAUCUACUUAGCAUUCUUUAAACUAAAAACAGCAAUGUGCAUUUCUUUUGUUCUUUUUCUUGAAAACUUCAGUGAAAUGAUAACUAGGCAACUCAAGUGGACAAUGUUACAUCCCGGACUCCACUCCGCCGUAGCACAAUAUUGUUCGCUUUGGGCCCCCGACCACGCCCUCACAGUUUUGUUUCUAGAAACUCACGAGAGCAGAACUUCCUAGUGAGUCACCCAUCCUGGAAAUGCUCUGGCUCUCCUUAGGGGCCCGACGUCCUUGUCGGCACACAUCUGCCCAGAGAUUGGCUCCGAUACCAAACUGACACACCCCGACCUAGAUCGAGGCAUGAUGGCCAUCACGUGAGGGUGACGUAGCCAUGUGCGUAGUGCAGAAUUGAAAUUAAUAAGAAGAAAUGCGAAUAACCUAGAACCAAGCUAACUAAAUUACACCUAAACACCAUGCUUGCACUUAUGUUUCCUUAGUGUAAAUUAGUUAGCUUGGUUCUAGGUUAUUCACAUUUCUUCUUAUUAAUUUCAAUUCCACACUAAGCAUAUGACUACGUCACCCUCACGUGACGGGCAGCAUGCCUCGAUCUAGGUCGAGGUGUGUCAGACAACACUAUUUGUCCUUGGCAUAGCAAACAUUUGAGGGUCCAAUCUUGCUCAUCACUAUAAACUAUAGUGCAUACUCUAUACUUAAAAAUCUGCUACGUGCCAUUUCACUUAACCUUAAUUAAUCUUCUUCAAAAUUAAAAUAAAAAUUAAUAUAAAAUUAAUAAAUUAAAUGAAAUAACAUGUGAAAAUGAUUGCCCAAAAAAUAACUAAAGGUGCAUCUUUUUGUAUUUCUCACACUUUCUUUACACACUUUUGCUAAAGGUACAUCUUUUUUAUUUCUCACUUGCUUUUCCUAAAGAUGCAUCUUUUAUGUUUCUCACUUUCUUUUUCUAAAGGUGCAUCUUUUCUAUUUCUUACACUGUUUUUUUUUCUUCUAACAGAGAGAGGAUUCUUUUCGGAUUCUCUUUAUGAGAAUUCUAAGGAUCCUUCAAUUAUGUCCGUUUAUCAUAUAUUGUACAACCCACUUUUAUCAGGUAAUGUUUAUAUUAAAUUUUAAAUAAAAAAAUUUACAAUGAUUUUGAAAAUCUUCACACAAAGAAUCCAAGGAGGAUCCUCAUUCAUUAAUAACCACCAAGGUCGUAGCCAUGUUUGAAAUCUGUGUUGUCUUUUGCAUCUGUAGGAUGCAUCGGUAACGAGAUGCUCGUCAUCCGGUAUUAGCAACCUUAAUUGUUGCUUGAAAAUGUUUUUAGCCACUUGCUGAUAUAGGCCUUUGUUUAUUGGAGUAGGAUUAUUUCUUCUUUUUUUUUCCCAUUAUUUUUCCUCUCAUUCUAUUUGAACGAUCACGGUUAAGUCAUAUCAAUAUCUUAUAUUAAUUUUCUAUAAAAAGAGAAAGAUAAAAUAGAGAAUGUGAGAGAAGAGAAGAGAAUGGGAUGAAAAGAGAAAGGAAGAGAAUCCUAAUCCUUGUUUAUCAGCAACCUUAAUCGUUGCUUGAAAAUGUUAAGAGCAUUUCCAAUGAGCUCCCUAUAAAAGUUUCUAGCUAAAAUUUAGGGAGGAAUUAAAAAAAAAAAUCAUCUCCAACCACACUCCCUAUUAUGAUCAUAGGGUGGCAACAAAUCUUGGAGCUCCUAAAUCAAAGGAGUGAAAAAUUAACUGUUUUAAUUAUACUUUAAAUAGAAACUUUAUUCCUAUUCAUUCCUACUAACUCUGACUCUCUAAAUUAGACAAUAUGGUUGGAGUAAAAAUGUUAGGGGAGAUCUUAAGAUAACUUUUUAGUCGUUUAGUUCAAAUUUAACCAAAAAAUAGAGCAUGACUGGAACACACUUCAAGCACGCUCCUUUGGUCUUCCUUUUGACUCAUGUUCGCCUGGACUUGCAUGCCUUUGGGCCUGUUGAGGUUAACCCUGCAUUAACAAAUUAAGGAUUAGAAAAGGGUUAGUAUUUCUGAAUUUCCCUUAAGUUUAAAAUAUUUAAAAUGAUGUCGUUUUAAGAAAAUUCGGUUUGGUUUCCAAAUCAUUGAAAAUAAAACAAUAGAUUUUGGUUCAAUUUGGUUCGAUUUUUCUUUGAUUCGAUUUUUUCCAUCUUUGACGUGCUGUCUAAUUUUGGUUAGGUUUUUAUAUUCAUCAGCCACUUUGAUGUGUUGUCUACGUUUGGUUAGAUUUUUUUUUAUAUAUUUGAUAUUGUUGCAGUCCUAUUAGAUAUGGAAUGUGAUUGUGUAAAUCCUAGUAUAUCUUGGAAUAUCUCUUAUAUCCCUAUUAGGAGUUGAUUACCUAUUAAAUGUUGUAAUCCUAAAGGGAAAGGUUUUUACCUAUCAUACUACCAUAAAUAAAGGCAUAAUGGGGUGGAAUAGAACACACCCACAAUUACACAUCUCUGUCUUCUCUCUCUAUGCCGCACCAUCUCUCUCUAUAUGGCCUUCAUAAUUGUUCAGUAAAGUAUGCCUACAACACGUUAUCAGCACGCUCUUAACGCUAAGCUAAAGUGAGUUUAUUCUUCAAUCAGGGGAGUAUUACGGUCUAAUCAUUCUUUUUAUGAUUAAUUUAUUGUUUUGAAUUGAUCUACAUGUUAUUCAUUCAAUUUAAUUUUUUUUUGUGUUGAACGUGAUCCAACACAUUGGAGAUGCAAUUCCGUCUUUAUGAGAAAGAUCUUCUACAAAUUCAAGGGCUUUUGUUGUUUUCUGCCAAUCAGGUACGCUUAAAAUAAAGGAAGAUAUUUGAAACGACCUUGAAGCAUGAAAACAUUCCCCAUGAUGCAUGAACCUCCUUAUGUUUAUACUUUCCUUCCGAUAUAUAUAUUGUAUAUAUUCAUAUAUUUGUCAAUAUAUAUAUUUGUUUCAUGCAUUACGCAAUUAUAAUUGCUAUGUGGAAUAUGUUAGUCAAAGUAUAUUCAUAAAUUAGAAGCAAUUAGGGUUUUAAACCCUAGGUUCGGAAAAAAAAUUAGGUAUUUUUAAGCACCACCGUGGCGACACACAUUGGGACACUAAUUUGGACCUUUGCGCAGCCCUCUGGGCUUGCUGCCUUCCUUCAACAUUCACCCAGGCCUCAACCUGGGAUGGUUAUCUCAUGGGCCUGAAAGCCCUGGUCCAAAACUCGACCCACAACCUGCAAGCCUGAAGCCAUGCUUGUCACUGUCACGGGCUUGAAGCCCCAACCCGUCUGCACCAGUUUUUCUGGUUCGCUGGACCGGUUUCACUGCCACGACCAGCUUACUACUGGGCCCUUGCCUCGCUCCGACCCGCGCUAGAACAAGCCAGCACGUGCUGGGCUUGUCCAGUGCUUUCAGCCUGCCAGCCCGCAUUUCAAGCUUGCGGCUUGAUUUGUACGAUGGGCUGCACAACAGUUUUUCCAAGCCCACUAGCCGACAAUUUUUUUUUGCUAUGAUGGGCUAUUUGCCUCGACUCGCUACCAAUUGUAGCCAUUGGAGCUACCUUGCAAGAGCGUGUAGUGCAUAACCAAAGUGUGUUGGGCUGUAUUCCUUUUUCGACCUGAUGCUAUAUUUUGGCAUCCCUUGCUUCUUAACCAUACCCAAAUAUUUUUGGACGUUUUUGGUUAAAGUCAUACUAGGCUAUAUUUUCUUAAUUAUUUGGCCCGAAGCCAUCUAAAGUGAAUAUGACUCGAAUGUUAUUCUUUUGCUUCUACAAUCGACCCCGAAUGGUCCUGAUUUAUUGAAUUAAUUAAAAGUGACCUGCAGUCCAUUAAUCUGGUAAUGAAUAAAAAAUUAUUGACCUGAAUAUCACUUUUGGACAUUAACGAUUCAAUAAUUUAUUUUUGUACUUUGAACCGUUGACUUACUUUCGUAGUUCCGAAGCACUCACACUUGAGUUCCUGAAGCAACCCAAAUCCACUACACUUAGUUGUAUAUUGCAUUAUGUGUUCUUGCAGGAACCUCUCUUUUAUAAACUAAAUGUUCAUAAACUAAAUUGAACCUGUAGUUUCAAAUUUAGUGCCUUUGAAACUCGAAGAUUUUAUAAAACAAUACACCUAUGAAAACCUGACGUUUUGUCAUGAAAACCAUGUCUUAAAACUUGAAUGUUCUAACUUUGAUGCCUAUGGAUGAUCCAUUCUCAUAACACCAAUCACAAUCUUGUUCCCUCCAAAUUCAAUGGAUUGUCGAACCGUCACAAGUUCGAUUUUUCUUAUUUGGACGUUUCUAAUAGAAACUACUUAAUGUGGGGUACAAGACAUGAAUCCCCACUUGACUAUCAUGAAGUUGAGAAACCAUUUAAGCCAACAAUGGCAAGAAAGAGCUGAAUAAGCCUCCGCCAUGAUUUUCAUUCGAAGACUUAUGCCCAAAGCAUUACAAAUGGAAGUACCUCUUGAACGAGGAUUCCAUGGCUCUAUGGCUCGCUCCUACGGACUGUCUAAUCAUGAAAGACAUUACCUAAAGCACACCAUAAUUACGUCCAUGAAUGAGUACAAUUAUGAAGUUUAUAAAUCCGAUCGAAUUUUGACAAGAGAAUACUUUUCUCGUCCUUGUUUCUAACUCGCUCCUGAAGCAACUAGUGUAGAAAGCAGAAGUUUUACCAAAUUCUCGGAUCUGAUUACUACCAUAAACAUAUGGUAGAAUUAGGGCCUGCCAAGGUGUGGCAUCAUGCUCGAAACGUGAUCCUUGGUACCUAAGACCUAAAACUUAAAAAACAAGGGAUAGUAUUCCCAAACCUUAACCCUGCAUAAUCUAUUUCCGUUUCGAUGGAAUAGACCAUUGGUUAUGCACCCCUGUUCGUGCACCUACCAAUGUUGUUAAGGAGUACCAUUCUAGUAGUUAAUACGUCAGACUAAUUUUGCUCCACCAAACACCGUUGGAAGAGCAGAAUUUUGACAUGGAUGGUCUUGUUGGAUGAAUCCCCCUUAGUAAACCAUUUACUUUGUGAACAUUUUUCCAUGUUCUUGGAUUCACGUUUGGUGUAUGUUUUACUUAUGGAUAAUCUUAUUGAUAUUGUCCUCGAAUAUGGGUUAAUUGAAUUAUGUUUCUUAAUACCUGUGACCGAUUUAAUUAAAUACAUGAUGAGGUAGGAAUGUGGGAAAGUUUGUUGUCUGGAUGAAUGCGUACUACGCACACUAACUUUACACCUAAAUCAUAUCUCUAACAGCGACUUCAGGUUUAUCCAAUUUGAUUAAGAGCAUUGGCACCUUCCUCGUUGUACGAAUGGUAUUGAAUCACCAUUUAAGGGACCUUAAAUUCUCCCUGAUGUUGAGUUUUUAAGGAUAUUCGAGAUAACAAUGAUCAUAAAUGAACCACUGAAGAAAAUAGAGUGAAAUAUCUUUGCACCACCUCCAAAAAUUAGCCCGAAGCUUUGAUUGGGGGCCAAUGAGUUGUCUCCCAAUUGGGACCACGCCAUAUGUGGCCAGCCUGGAGCCAGGUGAUUCGAGCUGUUUACUUGUUUUGGCAUGACCUUUUGGGACACUUAGGUCGAACAACGAUGUUACGACGCAUCUCCUUACCCGAAGUAAAGAUCUUGUGCCUACAAGCACACUUUGCCAAAACCCGCUCAUUUUGGAAAAUUUGAUUUCUAAAUCAUCCCUAGCAAAGAUAAAAAGUGACUCAUUUUUCACAGUGGAUUCAAGGGAAUAUAUGUGGACUAAUCCAACCAAAAUGCAGACCAUAUAAAUACUUAUGGUUUUGGUUGAUGAAUCGACAAACUGGUCACAUGUUUGUCCACACACAUUACUGCUAAACCUCAUAGCCGAUUAAGGGCUCACCACCCUACUUAUCCCUUAAGGUCCAGGAGACUAGAUAAUGUCGGAGAGUUUAUAUCGAAGGUUUUCAAUAAAGUAUUGCAUGUAUUUUGGGUUUAUAAUUGAACAUCAAAUUCCCAUGUUCACCCCAAAUAGCCUCGCCUAGUGAACAUAAAGCGUAAUUUAAAUGAUCGCCUGAAUUUUGGUAAACGUACCAACUUUUCGAUUUCUGCCCAGGGCUAUGCAAUCCUUGUACGCAGUUAUGUUGGUCCACCUUGAGGCCUAUUGCCACCCAACCUAUAUGACGUUACAGUUGGUUACUAGGUACGAACCUGACGAUUUUCGUAUUUACGUAUUUGGGUGUGCAUUCCAUGUGCCAAGUUGCGCCGCCGUAACGUACCACCAUGGGUCUUCAAAGAAGGAUGUGUAUCUUUUAUCGAUCAUGAUUCUCCUUCACCUUCGCUCUCUUAAAGCCCUUGCACACGAUCUCUUUACUGCUCAUUUGCGGGUUGUCUCUUUAAUGAGACAGUUUUCCAGUCGUUAGGGGGAGAUAAGAACGUUAACGUUCCUGGAGAACGGCGCGAAUUUGCGUGGACGUUGCCCACUAUGUCUCAUAUCGAUCCUCAUACCGCACCAGUGUGAUAAGCAAGUGCGAUGAAUUCUAGAUUUCAGAAUGUUACUCCAGACGGAUUCCUAUGAUCUAGCUAAAGUGAUAAGAUCAUAUACCAGUUGCAAACAUGCCUACAAUGAUAGACGUACUUAACGGACGUCGAGUCAACAUCCCUAGAGCAUGUGCCGUCCUUGUUGGACGGUUUAGACGGUCCGGUACACCGGCGAAUAGCCAAUCAAUCUGUCUUGGCCUGGAGCAAAACAAAUCAUUCAGUUUGUAGGAUUCACUUCCCUAAAAAAGGAAGAUACAGCAUAACAAUGAAUCUAAACUCGAUCGCUAUCUCAAAUUACUUCCAUAUCAUGAGAUUAAUCCGGAUUACUCUCUAGACUUAAGGUUCUUGGUCCAGUAUAUUAGUUUGGAUGAGAAAAUGGAAUUGAAAUAAGAUUAUCAUCGAUGAUGUUUUCACUUAUAUGGUAGCUACCGACAUAAAUGAAAAGCGACAAUAUCAAACUGUGUUCCGUUGAUUAAGUGACAAUGUAGAACUGAUUGGACAACUAAAGUUACAAUCUAGGUCAAAUUCCUUACCAAAGUCUGUAUUGGACCUGUCGUUCCUACACUGCCCAAGGUAACCCUGUUGUGUUACAAGUGAAAAAGGAAGCGUUAUGAGAUGAAUGAAAUAAUGCAAUAUGAUGCACGCCUUGCGGCGCAAGGUUUCUCUUAAACGUCAUGUGAUUGAUAGCAGCAUUAUGAAAUGUGGUUAGUGUUUUCUCCAUGGGGAUAUAGAUACUGAGAUUUACAUGUAAGUUCUCGAAGAAUUACAAAAACUGUUUCAAAUAGUUCCAAAACCACUGAACACCUUCUUAACUUGUUUGAGGCAUUCACUUACAAUUUGACGAAUUUGGUAUACUUGUCUAAGUGAUUAUUUGAUCAGUUAGGGAUGAAUUAUGCCUUUGCGUGUUAAACUAUGAAAUCUUAUUCCAAAUUGCUAGAGUUAUAGUUUAUGUCGUUAACACGAAUUUCACUAAGACUUCUGAAGAGUUUGAGCAAACUGCCUCACACCUGAAAAUGGAAUUUGAGAUGAAGGAUCUUGGGAAACUCAAUUGUGCCUUGACCUGAAGUUAAAGCAUUGUUCUAACAGUAUUUUGGUCUACCAGUCGAACUACACCCCGAAUGGGUCACAUUUGAGUAUACCUUUGAUCGUCCAUACGUUAUAUGCAAAUGAGACCCUUGAAGAGGUUAUAGAAUUCGAUAUUCCAUAUCUAAAUUCAACUUUACGAUUCGUUGUACUUAGCUCAUUAUAUUUAGACAGGACAUCUCCUUCAUUGUUGAUCUUGGUAAAGAUGCAGCAUCGCGCCUACACAAGGCAAAAUCCCAAAAUGUUAUAUCUUUACCAUUAGGGAUAUCGCAAUAUCUUAGAGGUCCAUGAUAUGACCUUAGUUGCAAAAUCUUCGAAUUGUUCCAAGACUCACCUACUUCACUACGCCACAAGUGAGACAUGGUUAGGAGUUCUUGUUGAGCAUAUUCGAAGUACUUGCUGUAUUUUUCAUCCAUCGUUGAGUCCCGACGACGAUCCAUGAAGAUUAUGCCGCAUGUAUCAACUAGACCAAGUCAUGAUACAUCAACGAAGUCAACACCAAGACAUAUUGCAUCUACAUCAGCAAAGCAUCAGGAGAUUGAAGUUAUGCAAGCCGAUCCUGACAACCUUGCCAACCUCUACACGACGUCACUGCCGAAAUCAACCUUCCAGAAGCUUGUCCGAGGAAUUGGUAUGCCUAACUAUCAUAUGCAAUGCUUAUAUUUCUCAUUUGGAAGUUAUGUUAAACUCAGGAGGAGUAUCCAGAAGUAUACUCACUUGAUCUUAAUGUACACUUUUUCCCUACGAUUAAGAGCAUUUUUCCCACUGGUUUUUGCUACCUAACUAUGUUUUAACAAGGCACCCAUCCUGGGCUGAUCAUACCCUUGUGAGGUCUUCUACUUGCGUCCAAAAUACGUAUAGUUUUGACUUAAUGCAACUUCUCAUUUUUCUCCUUAGACUAUGGGUUUUUCUCCCACCUUGGGUUUUACCAUAACGAGGUUUUGUGAGUUUUACUUUUUAUGCAUUCUUCCGUUGAUCUGAGACUCGCAUUCGCACAUUGUGCUGAUGACUUCAUCAACUAUACUUGCUUCAUCACUGAAGACCUGAUGCACCAUUUACUUGAGUAUUUACACACUCAAUGGGGAGUGUUGUAGUCCUAUUAGAUGUGUAAAUCCUAGUAUAUCUUGGAAUAUCUCUUAUAUUCAUAUUAGGAGUUGAUUACCUACUAAAUGUUGUAAUCCUAAAGGGAAAGGUUUUUACUUGUCAUACUACUAUAAAUAAAGGCACAAUGGGGUGGAACGGAACACACCCACAAUUACACAUCUCUCUCUUCUCUCUCUAUGCCACACCAUCUCUCUCUAUAUGACCUCCAUAAUUGUUCAGUAAAUUAUGCCUACAACAGAUAUAUUAUUAUUUCUUCCAUGUCACAGGUCUUAGUUUAUUAGCAACUAGCACGGACCCAACUAUUUUUGUCAGUGGCAGAGGCAGGAUUUGAAUUCACUAGGGCCAUGAUAAAGAAGUAGAUGUGGUAGUGUUUUGUUAUUUAGAUAUAUAAUUCAUGACUUGUCCUUAUAAUUUUUUUUUAUAAAUAAAAUGUAUUGAUGAGAAAAUGAGAGUUGUCCUUAUAAUUUGAACUUGUUGAUUAAUAGUGUCAUUAUUUAUUUAACACAUACACCUAAAUUAUAACCAUAUAGUGAUCUUAAUUGUAUAAUAUUAGAUUUUUUUCCCACUUAAGCAACAUCAACCGUUAAUUUGACUGCAAUAAGUAAAUACACCAACUAUUGUAAAAGGUUAUUGAUCAAUCCUUUCAAUUGAUUGAACUCACUACGAAAUACUGUUGAUUACUAGAGUGUUUACAUAAAUAAUGGAAAUCAACCAUAAUACUAUGUUUGGAUGAAGGAAAUAAACUUGGAAUUUGGAUAAAAGUCAAAAUUUAUAAAUUAACAUGCACCAAUUCUCUUGUUUGGAUUUAUAAACAUAGAAAUUUAGAAUUUCUGCGUGAAAAAAAAAACUUGGAAUUUGGGGCCUCCAAUUCCCAAGUUUAAAUUCCAUAUAAGUAGGUGUCAUUUCUCAAUUUCUAUGAUUGAGAGUUUAAAAUUAACAAAUUCCAUUAUCAAUUCCACUGUUCUUUUAGGUUAACCAAAUAAGAAAAUUCACAAAUUCUAGAAAAUAAAAUCUCGACAUUUCAAUUUUUGUCAUUUUAAAAUUACUUAGUAAUCUUAAAUUUCUUUAUCAAGCAUAGUGUACGUUAAUUGUUGAAGUUCCUAUUUGGAUAUCUAGAUCAAUAGAAUAUAUAGUUCAGUUCAUCCGCCACUUGCUCAUUUGUUGUGAUUCCGAAUUAUGAUUGCAAACUAAUGUUUAUUAGCUACCUUGAUUUGAUUGUUGAUUGAAAAUGUUUAUUAGCCACUUGCUGACAUAGGUCUUAGUUCACUUGCUGGCAUAGGUCUUUAGUUCACUUGCUGGCGUAGGUCUUUGUCUAGGCCUCUCAUUUUUUUUUAUAGGAACUUUGACGAAAAGCUCCAGGUAAUGUUCACUUUAACGAAAAAUCACAUUUUUACACUAAAAAGUUAAUCAUGGUACUAUUUAUUUUACCCUUUAUUUUGUCAUUAUCUUUAAAACUCAAAGUUUUCAAGUUAUUUUCAUUAAUAGCCACUUGCCAAUGACAGUGAUGAGAGAUUUUUUAGGACUAAGAUUCUCUCUUUCUUUUUCUAUCCCCUUCCUUUUCUUCCUCUUAUAUUCUUUAUUUUAUCUUUCUUUUUUUAUAAAAAAAAAUUAGGGUAUUUGUUUACUACCCUCAUGUUUCGUGGUUUUCAACAUUUAGUACAUCAAGUUUUUUUUCAUCCCAGAGUCAUACUUGUUACAAUGUGCCUAGACACCUUGCCAUUAUUCUCACCAACCAGGUGAUGAAAUGUAAAGAAGGAACUCAUCUUCAUGCUACCAACCAGGUGAUGAAAUGUACAACCCGUACUCUCCUUUAUGCCACCAACCAGGUGAAGAAGGAACUCAUCUUCAUUCCACCAACCAAGUGAUGAAAUGUACAACCCGUACUCUAAUAUCAUUUGGCAACUUGCCAUUCAUGCCACCAACUAGGUGAUGCAAUGUGAUGAAAGGUGAUAAAGGAACUCACCUUCGUACCACCAACCAAGUGAUGAAAGCAACUCACCAUUUAUUCCACCUACUAGAAGACGAAUGGUAUAACUUGUACAUGUGAACUUCUAGCAUUCACAAAUAAUAAAAAACCCUCAAGCUUGACAACUCAACUAGGGGAGCACUUAUGCCCAACAAGAGUUAUAGUCACAAACAAAGUCUUAUUGCAAGCCAACAACAACUUCAGUGCAUGACAUACGAAUAUCAAGCUAUUCAACCCUAUUGCAUCUGCUUCAGACAUUUCCCCUCUGUAACAAUGCAAACACUACAACUCGUAGAAAGCUUCACACACUCUUGAUCAAGACAGUGUGAAGCAAAACCAAUUAAUGGUGCCAACAAGAGCUUCAUCAAAGAAGUUCAACCACAAUUCUCAAAAGCUUCAUACACUCUUGAUCAAGACAGUGUGAAGCAAAACCAAUUUAUGGUGCCAACAAGAGCUUCAUCAAUGGAGGGCAACCACAAUUCAAAAAAGCUUCACACACUCUUGAUCAAGACAGUGUGAAGCAAAACCAAUUUAUGGUGCCAACAAGAGCUUCAUCAAUGGAGGGCAACCAUAAUUCUCAAAAGCUUCACACACUCUUAAUCAAGACAGUGUGAAGCAAAACCAAUUUAUGGUGCCAACAAGAGCGUCAUAAAUGGAGGCCAACCACCAUUCUCAAAAGCUUCACACACUCUUAAUUAAGACAGUGUGAAGCAAAACCAAUUUAUGAUGCCAACAAGAGCUUUAUCAAAUGAGGGCAACCACAAUUCUCAAAAGCUUCACACACUCUUGAUCAAGACAGUGUGAAGCAAAACCAAUUUAUGGUGACAACAAGAGCUUCAUCAAUAGAGGGCAACCACAAUUCUCAAAAGCUUCACACACUCUUGAUCAAGACAGUGUGAAUCAAAACCAAUUUAUGGUGCCAAUAAAAGUCUCAUCAAAAGAGUUCAACCACAAUUCUCAAAAGCUUCACACACUCUUGAUCAAGACAGUGUGAAGCAAAACCAAUUUAUGGUGACAACAAGAGCUUCAUCAAUAGAGGGCAACCACAAUUCUCAAAAGCUUCACACACUCUUGAUCAAGACAGUGUGAAUCAAAACCAAUUUAUGGUGCCAAUAAAAGUCUCAUCAAAGGAGUUCAACCACAAUUCUCAAAAGCUUCACACACUCUUGAUCAGGACAAUGUGAAGCACAACCAAUUUAUGGUGUCAACAAAAGCCUCAUCAAAGGAGUUCAAUCACAAUUCUCAAAAGCUUCACACACUCUUGAUCAAGACAGUGUGAAGCAAAACCAAUUUAUGGUGCCAACAAAAGUUUCAUCAAUGAAGGGCAAUUACAACUCGUAGAAAGCUUCACACACUUUUGAUCAAGACUGUUUGAAGCAAAUUCAAUUUAUAUGGUUCAUCCAAACCUUCGACUACUACAAGGUGUUUUGCAUCACAAUCUCUUGCUUAACAGUGUGGAAGCAAAAUUUGUAUAUGUUGUCUCUCUCACAUUUUCAAAUUUCUAAUUUUAACAAAAAAAAAAAAAAAAAAGAAAGGAAAUUGGGAAUUCAACAAAGUUUCACCACAAAAGCUUCACCAACAAAAGCUUCAUUCAUCAAUGGAGGACAACUAAAAAUUCUUAAAAGCUUCACACUAUCUUGAUCAAGAUAGUGUGAAGCAAAAUCAAUUCAUGGUAGCCAACAAAGCUUCACCACAAAAGCUUCAUCAAUGGAGGAUAACUACAAAUUCUCAAAAGCUUCACACUAUCUUGAUCAAGAUAGUGUGAAGCAAAAUCAAUUCAUGAAACCCAACAAAAGCUUCAACUCCAAAGCUUCACCUACAAAGCUUCAACUCUAAAGCUUCACCCACCCACAAAAGCUUCACCUACAAAAGCUUCACCGAUAAAAGCUUCACUAACAAAAGCUUCACCCACAAAAGCUUCACCCACCACAAAAACUUCACCUACAAUAGCUUCAUCUACAAAAGCUUCACCCACAAAAGCUUCACCCACAAGCUUCACCCACAAAAGAUUCACCCACUACAAAAGUUUCAUCCAUAAAAGCUUCACCCACAAAAGCUUCCCCCACCACAAAAGCUUCACCCAUAAAAGAUUCCCCCACCACAAAAGCUUCCCUCACAAAAGCAUUCCCCACCACAAAAGUUUCACCCACAAAAACUUCCCCCACCACACAAGCUUCACCCACCAUAAAAGCUUCAACACAAAAGCUUUACUUACAAAAGCUUCACACUAUCUUGAUCAAGAUAGUGUGAAGCAAAAUCAAUUCAUGGUAUCCAACAAACCUUUAACCUCAAAGCUUCACCUACAAAGCUUCACCUAUAAAGCUUAAUAUAUAUAUAUAUAUAUAUAUAUAUAUAUAUAUAUAUAUAUUUUUUUUUUGGAAAUUCAAAAAUUCGGAAAUUUGUAAAUUCAGAAAUUCAAAAAUUUGAAAAUUCCAAAAAAAAAAAAUGCCUAGGCCUCAUCUUCUUUAGACCUAACAACUUUCAUAACAAAUAUAUAUAAAGUAGGAGUUUUGGGCUACCACUUAGAAAGGAAAAUGGUGAAAUUUUGUUACUUUGGAAACUUGGCUACUAGCAAGACACCUCCUUCGUCAACUCCCUCGACUGGAGACUUGGGGGACUUCUACCAUAUGCUACUGCACCUUGAUACUCGGAAGUCUCACGACUACUUAGUGAGUUGGCUUUUUUCAAGUCUCUAACCGAAAAGUUUUCCUCACUCGGGAAAUUAAGGGAGCACUACCUCAACCUACAUGCUUCACUCAUAAAGCUUCAACAUACAAGCUUUAACAAAAAGAAAAAUUCAAAGAAUUUAGUGAAGAAGGCCUUGGUGUAUUUAACACAAUACGUUGAAAUAAAGCAAAGCUUGUUUAUUGAUAUCUCCGAUAAGUUACAAAUAUGUACAUAUACAUGAAUCAAAAUAAACAAACAAGAGGGAGCAUUCACAAAGGUUGCUCAGGAGAAGUCUCAGCAGUCUGCAGAGCCCCAGAAAGAAGAGGCACCAGAGGGUGAUUAUUCGGAGCCUCAGUACUAGGCAGAACCCUAGAAGAAUGAAGCACUGAAGGUUGAUCAUUUAGAGCUUCAUUACGCGAUACAGCCCUAGAAGACGAAGGCAAUAAUUGUCUUUGGAACAAACCCACAAACCUCUGAUAAUCAAGUAAAAUCUGACCAUCAGAUUCCUGCAAUUGGUCGAGCUUCCUCUUCAUGUUUGUAGCAUAGUCAUGUGUGAGCAUGUGCAAUUGUUUAUUCUCAUGCUUGAGCCCUCUAAUCUCCUGUUUGAGACUUAUCACUUUAGUCGCCAAUGAUUCAACUUGGCGGGUUCGAGCAAAUAGGCUUUGGGCCAUAUUCGACACAGAACCUGCACAUUGAACAUUGAGAGCCAGAGAAUCCUUAACAGCCAACUUAUCAGACCGUUUGGAAAGUAGUCUGUUAUCUUUGGGAGUGAGAAAGUUCUUGGCCACCACCCCAGCGGUCAUAUCAUUCUUCAUCACAGAGUCCCUAAUGGUAAGAGGACCAGUAGGGGAUAAGAAGGAUUGGCGUCAUAUGUUGUCUUGAGAAGGCAUGUCUGCCUCUUCACCAAAGUUCAAGUCAAAACGACGGUCGGAUGGGCCAGACAUUCUCAGAAAUGAUGAAGGAGAAAUGAGGUGCAAUAAAUCUCUGAAGUAAAGGGAAAAUUCCUACAAGCAAUAACUCUUUAAAUGUACUUCUUGCACACAAUUGGUUCCCUUAUAAAAGAAAGGGCAACAAGGUCGUUGGUUCAAAAAUCGAAAAGGCAACACUCUCUGGAUUCCGAAGAAGCACCACUUUCCACACGCAACAUCAGCUCCUCGGGUACCACAGAUAACUUUGCCAAAGAUCUCUGACAAAGUUUAAACACAUAAAUUUUGAAGGUCCAACUACCCUACUAUUACCCACAAGGGUAAAGGAACAACAUCACUGCUUGAUAACUAGAAAAUCCCUAUAUGUGUCAACCUCUGUGCUCCGUGGCAAGGCAGACUAGCAAAAAUGCCCAACCUUUACUAACAUUCGAGAAAACACUCCCAACAGGAUUACUUUCUCAAAAAUUGAAGAGACACUGCUCUCUGAAUCUCAAGAGUCAGACUCCCAACAAGAUUGCUUUCUCAAAAAUUGAAGAGGCACCGUUCUCUGAAUCUCGAGAGCCAGAUCCCCGACAAGAUUGCUUGUUCGAAAAUCGAAGAGGCACCGCUCUCCGAACUUCGAGAGCCAGAUUUCCUUGCAUAAAGCUUUUCUGUAAUCUUCACACAUCAACUUUCCAGAUACCACAUACCACUUUUUCAAAGUGCUCUGACAAAGUUAAAACACGUGAAGCUUGUAGCUCUUACUACAUUGCUAUGACCAAGAAGGGUAAAGGAAUAACACUACUACUUGUUGUUAGGGAGACUCCUAUAUAUGUCGACCUUCAUCCCCCACAGCCAGGAAAACCUGCAAAUAUAAAAAAAUGCUCAACUUUUCUUCACAUCCGAGAGGGCACUCUCAGCAGAAUCUCUCGAAAUACUCAGCUUCUUUUCCUUCCAAUAAUACCUCUGCAAACAAGCCACACCAAAGCAAGAGUAUCUCAUACAUCAAGGUUAAAAGCAAGAGUAUCCCAUAUCAUGAUUUUUCCCUGUCUUUUCCUUUGGCCUUGUUCUUACCUGGAAGACAAGGAGAAAGAGAGCAAUCAGUCAGCACUUAGAUUCAAGCUUCCAGUCAGGAAUUGAUUGCUUGGAACCCCUUGCCUGAUUACUUACCUGGCAUUGCUCUCGAGUACUCAUCUUCAACAUCUUAUGCUUCCAGAGAAAAUACCAUAUCUGCCUGAGGAACAGAUAAGACAAGUAAGAAGGAUACAAAGAAGCAUGUGGAGACAAGACACGUGCCGAUACAUCCAUUACUUUGUCAACAGCAAAAGUAUCCCAUAUCAUCAGGGUCGAAUGUACUCUAGAUUUGAUGGACUUGUUUUGACCCUCAAAUUCUUGAGUUAGCCUUAUACUCUAAAGGAAACCAGAAAACCCUCCAGCUCAGUUCAAGAAUAAGUCUGUGGAAAGUUACUUCUUCAAAAGCAAAAGUAUCUCAUAUCAUCUCUUCUCCAUUUGCUUCUCCUUAUCUUUGUUGUUGUUUACGACACAAUGAGAAGGAGAAUAAUCAACUGAAAGCUGAAGUCAAACCUCCGAUCCAGGUUGCUUGCUUGGAAGUCUGAUUGCUUACCUUGUCCAUUACUCAUUCGGCAAAUCUCCUAGCUCGAUGACUUGGGGGACUCCUACUAUAGGGUUUAUAUCGCAUUUGACCAAGCCCAAGACUACAAGUAAGCUUCAAGUGAAAUUGAAACAUUACUUUGUGCAUCUUCAUCGGUUAAAGAUACCACCCUUGGAUGGAGGAAAAGUACUUCCAGAAAAGAUGCCACAUUUACAUAUGAGACAGAUAAGGCAAGUGAAAAUGAUACCACACUUCGGUACUUAGAAGUUUCGUGAUUACUUAAUGGCUUGGAUCUUGCAAGUCCUCAACCGAAGAGUUUCCCUUACUCGGGAACUUACGGGAGCACUAUUUGUACCAUACUUGACCAAUCCCGAAACUACUGAGCACCAGUCAACGUUAUACCGUCAAGGACCCAGAAGAGUUUCCCUCCAACCAAGAGGCCAAUCACAGCGCGACACGUGUCGACAUCAGAAGCCAAUCAUAGCACGACACGUGUCAACAUCAGAAGCCAAUCAUAACACGACACGUGUUAAUGUCAGAAUGAAACUAGAAACUCUCUUCUAUAAAUAGAGAUCAUUCUCUCACAAUAUUUCCUAAUGUCAUUUGUACUAAAUCAUUCACUAGUACUCACUAAAGGAGAUCUUAAACCUAUGUACUUGUGUAAACCCUUCACAAUUAAUGAGAACUCCUCUACUCCGUGGACGUAGCCAAUUUCAGUGAACCACGUACAUCUUGUGUUUGCUUCCCUAUCUCUAUCCAUUUAUAUACUUAUCCACACUAGUGAUUGGAGCAAUUUAGCGAAGGUCACAAACUUGACACUUUCUGUUGUACCAAAGUUCUCACUGAUUUUGUGCAUCAACACAUUGUAAGUUGUGUUGUAAAUUAAGUGGCUAGGUGGAACAAUUGUCAUUUAAUAUGUUUCGGUGGCUUAGGGAGUUGUAUUUGCAUUGAUGAAGAUGUUUUGGCACACUAGUAUAUUAGGGAAGGAGUUUGAUAUGCUAAAAGAGACAAUUUGGAAUUAUAAUUUUAUGGUAAUGAAGAAUUGAGCAUUGCUCUUCUAUCAUUCCUCUAUCUCUUUGUCGUUUUGCAUUACAUACAGUUAUGAGUUCGAAUAUAUUGGCGUCAGUUUCUUGCAAUUAGGUUUUAACUUUUAAGGUAUACCACAUCUUUUUUUUUUUUUGAGUUAAAAUUCGUCUUUUCAAUUUGAUUGGUAUAUUUCAGCUUGUUUCCUUAGUUUUAUGUUCUAAUUUCUUUUCUUUUAUUGCUAUUUUGUCAUUGAAUUUCAAUUUUUGGUGAGGGAAUCAUAGUGGUUGUUUGGCCUUAGGAUCUACAGUAUAAUAAAGUAUUAUUAUUUUGUAAAAUUGUUUAACCCAAAAGGAUGGAAGUUCCCAUCAGGCUACCUACAAAUUAGGAAGAAACCGAAUUAGGUUUGGUGUGUAUGUUUAAAGUUGUCGAAAUAGGGCUUGGCUUGAAGACUUGGUUUAUUGGAUAGAAGAAGAAGAUGAAGAAGAGAUGGUGAGGGAGCAUCCCAAUAACACGAGUUUUAAUUUUAUGGGUAUUUAGGUCAAUUCAAUCAGAUUUUUGGCUAUAUUUGAAAGAAUUUGUUAAAAUUGACAUUUGUCAAUUUAGAUGGUAAAUUUUGGUUAUAAUUGAUAAAUACUCGGGUCUUGCCAAGAACUUCUAGUGAGGCCGAUAGUUCACGUGAAUCCCCCCUAGUCUCAUUUAACUCAAUCCCAACAUAGACCAAACAUGGGACUACACUACUAAGGAGUCUAGUCCAGUCUAAUCCCACCUAAUGAGGCCAAACAAAAAUACCCUUAAUGAGUUAAAUAACUAUUUAUUGAGUUUGAAUACUUGGAUGUUAACUAAAAACAUUGCACAUGGCAAUUUGUGAUUGAACCGAGUAAGGAGCUCUUCAGUCAUGGCCUUGAGCCAUAUUCUCAAAUAAAACUAAUAGUUGUAGCAAAUUCGAAUCAACAUCAAUAAUAUCAAUAUCAGUCAUAUUUAAUAAAUUGUAAUUUGAAUUCGCAUAUAUAUUAAUAAACCUAAGAAAAAUCAAGGGUCGAAAUCAUUUCAAUAUCUAUUCCACAUAAAUAAACCAUUUUUUAAGGUAAUUUUUUGUCUUUAAAAAAAGACGUAACAUGUUCAUGUGGGUUUGAACAAGUCUAAGCAACACUCAGUUGCAAGUCCUCUAUUCCAGAAUUUUUCGAAGUAUUCAGCAUAUGUGAAGUUUCUGAACAUGGCUGGAUGGUCAUGGUUGAUGAGCUCCCUGGCAGGCCCAAUCAUUGCAUCUGGUGCUGGACAGUAGAAAGUUGGGAUCGAUAUCCUCUCCGAAUUACAAUUUACCACAGCCCUAUGCAGCACACUCUUGUACCUACUGUUGCUAAUUACCUAAUACCAAUUAAAAUGGUAAAAAAAGUUAAACUUCAAUUAACAGUUUACUCAUGUACAUGUCACAAAAAUUUUGUCCCACUACUUGGAAAAGUUUCCCUUGCUAGGGAUAAAUGAGUUUAACCAUCCCAGAGCGUGAUGCAAUCAUCUAUUAUUUCUCUCCUCAUGUAACAAAUUACGUGAGAACAAAGAUAAAAAAAAAUUAAGAUUUCACGCACACCGUGACAGAGAUAAAUUAGCUAAUGAAAAAUAUUUUGGGAGACUUUUUGACAUGCUUUUAGAAAUUCUAUGCACUAGAUCAUAGAUGGUCUUUUAGCCAUUAGAUACUUCAUUGUGAAUCCAAUAACUAAAAUUUAAUGGCCAAAAAUCUCGCUUAAUAGGAUACACUGAAACAUAGUAAAAUUUUCGAUAUUUAGACGGAUAUAAUGUAUACCUGCAUCAUAUCACCAAUAUUGACAAUGAAAGUGUUGGGAAUGGGGUUGACAGCAACCCACUUGCCAUUUCUAAGGACCUGCAACCCAGGCACCUCAUCUUGGAGAAGGAUGGUAAUUAGGUUAGCGUCAGUAUGUCCAGGCAAUCCAUAAGUCAGCUCUGGCUGUGGACAUGGUGGAUAGUAAUUCAAAGCCAUAUGCUGUCCUUGCUUUCCCAAUGCCUUAACAAUAUAGUUCUUUUCCAAGCCCAAGCUCUCUGAUAUGGCCUCAAGCAAUCUCAGCACUAAUCCUCUCACACUUGUGCAGUACUCACCCACUUGCUCCCUGUGAACAAACAAAGUGCCAGCUCAUUCAAUUGUAUGACUUAAUUUAUUAAUAAAAUAACUCUUGCAGAGCAAUGUUUUCUUGUCACACUGUAAAUUUAGAUCAUUAGUUGGUUUUUUGUCAAAAUCUCUAGUUCAUAUUCAAUUUUGACAUGAGCAUUUGUUUCGCAAACAAAGGAGCGCCGCACCCCUAUUUAACUAAGUUAAUGAAUUUAAUUUGGAUAAUAUGCUCUUGUUAGACUAUGUAUAUCUGUUUAGAUUCUGACAAAUAUAAGUCUGGUAAGAGAACGUUAGUCGGUUUGAAUAUUUGAGUACUAACAGAAGACGAUGAGAAAGAGGCACCCCCUAUUUACCUGAACAACGGGGGAUUGUUAGGCCAUUCUUGGACAUAGUCUUGAAGUGGGAAGCAAUGCAAUCUAAGGAAGUCCCUCCAGUUGGACAAUUUUUCAGUCCUGACAUUGAAACUGGUGGAGAGCCUGGUGGUCUUAAAAGGGUCAUCUGAGUACAUCUUCAACCUCUCACUUUCUGGAAAUUUGAAAAACUCUCUUGCUAUACUCAACAUGUUUUUUAUCAUUGUCUCUGGAACUCCAUGAUUUUUCACCUGGUAAUAAAAAGGUUGGUGCAUAAUUUAGUUAUUUUAUAUAAGGGACACUUUGAAUGCGGUCCUUAACUACCAAUGUUCUUUGAUUGAAACCUUGGUGGUUUUUAACUUUUGAUUGAAGUCCCUCACAUUAAUGUAAUUGUCACAUCCCGGCCUGGGGUGGACCACUUCCUGGGCCCGCUCCACCACCGUAGCACGAUAUUGUCCGCUUUGGGCUUACCAUUCCCUCACGGUUUUAUUUUUGGGAACUCACGAGCAACUUCUCAGUGGAUCACCCAUCCUGGGAGUGUUCUAGCCUCCUUCUCGGUUAACUUAGGAGUUCCUAUGGAACCCGAAGCCAAUGAGCUCCCAAAAGGCCUCGUGCUAGGUAGGGAUGAGAAUAUACAUUUAAGGAUCACUCCCCUUGGCGAUGUGGGAUGUUACAGUAAUAAUAUAUUUUUAUGUAGGUUAUUAUAUUUUUAAAUUAAAAAUAUAAUUUGUAGUUAUUUAUAUUAAUGAGAUUUUAAAUGAAACCCAUAUUUUAUGGGAUUAAAAAUAUUAAAGAUGAAUUAUACUCUCCAAUAUAUUUUGUGUGUGUGUGUGUGUGUAUGUAUACAUGUGUGUGUGUAUAUAUAUAUAUACAUGGGUACGUUCAUCAAAACUAACCAAAAAAUUAUUGUACCAAAGCAUAGGUACAUUUUUCAAAAGCACAAAAAAAAAAGCCUUAAUAACAUUAUUAAAUUUCUUCUAUUAAACUUGACAUGGAUACAUUCUCAAAUUAACGAAAAUAGAAUGUAUCCAUAUAAGUUUAAAAAUGGAUUAGAGAAAAGAUUGAAUGAAAUUUUAUAUAAAAAAAAAAAAGGUACAUUUUUAACAUAUUGGUAUAUUUAAGAAUGGAUACAUAUAAGCUUAAAAAAUUGAAAUUUUUUUUAUAAAAAUUUAAUGGGUACAAACUUAUUCUAAUUUUAUUUAUUUUUAUUUGGGAAAUGUUUGAAUUGAAAAUUAAUUAGGAGUUUAAUAAGGGUGUGAGUAUUAAAACUCUAAAUCAAUUACUUUUUUUUUUAUAAAAAUUAUGUAACUUACAUGUAAUUCAUUAAUAUAUUAAUGAUAGGAACUUUGAUCAAAAUCUAAAAACUGAUAAGGUCUUAGUUAAUGGACAUUAGAUACUAGGGACUGGAAACUAAUUUUUCCUUUAUAUAAUAAGGCUAAUAGCACUCAUAUACAUACUCAGACUAAACAUGUAAUUAAGUAUAAAGUUGUCCGAAGUAUAUACAUAUGUGUGUGUGCGCAUGUGUGCUAAUUAUUACCUGGAAGAAACCAUCAGUUUGGCAUGCUAGACCAAUCUGUUGGAUAAUAUCAGAGUGCUUGGGGCUAUGGAGGUCCUUGAGAUCAAUGAGAGGAAUGGAGGAGGCAUCUGAUGUCUGAACAUCAGUGAGAUUUGGACGGUCGGAGAAGGGUCUGAUGUAGUUUGAAGGGACAUGGCUCAUACCAGACAUGAGGUCUGUGAGCAGUAGCUUUGUUGUGGAAGCCAUUUUGCUUACGACUGAAGAGAAAAGUUGCAAAACUAAGGAAACUUGCAGGUUUAGUGAACGGGGCUUUGGAUCCCUAUCCAUUUUUAUAGAAUAUGAGGAAGCACUAUUAUAUAGAAAAUGUUUUCUUACCCAAAAUUGUCACAUUAGUUUAAGAACUAUAUAUAUAUAUUAUAUAUAUAUAUAUAUAUAUAUAUAUAUGCAUAUAUAUAUGCCUUGAAGGGUAAUUGACAGAGAGAUCAAAUUUCUAAGUUAAAUUUUGUAAACCAAAUAAUGUGAAUAUUGAUGAUUGAAUUAUUAUUUAAGUCUUGAUUAACGUGCUUAUUUUUUAUUUGUGACACAUUAUUUGGUUUGUAAAUUUAAUUUUAAAAUUUGAUCUCCCUAAUAUUAUCCGUGCUUUGAUACGUGAAAAGUUUAGAAUUUUUUUUUUUAAAUCUACAUAAAAUUAUAGAAGUCAAAGUCAGAUUAUUACUUGUAUAAUUAUAAGGCUCCGCUGAGCAAUUGUUUAGCUUGUUAAACAUGAUUUAAGUCAUCAGCUCUUUAAUCUUUAUCGUGUUGCAACAAAUAAUUCGCAUCAGUCUUGCCUUCUCAUGUGAGCUUACUUUCUGCAGCCCUUAUAGUACAUGUGAUAGUUUAAGAACAUGCCUCUCGUGUUCAACACUACAAAAAUCCAUACAGAAUUUAUUGUGUGUUGUACAUUUGAGUGUAACUUUUUCUUGUAUCUCUCUUCACGUGUUUUGCAUAAAUUAAAUUGACGAAAACAAAUUAUUUUUUUAUUUAGUUGAAGUAUAGUUUAUUUUCUCUCUUAUUAUGUAAUAUAUCUUUAUAUUUAAGCUAUCAUAAGCAUAUGCCCUUUAACUAUAAAGUACAUCUGUCUCACAUAUCUCUCUCAUCACAUAACGUAAUAGGUGUGUCUUUCUCGUCUAUCCUAACCAUUUGCCUUUCUCCGUAAAGAUGUAGCAAUGCAAAGAAACCAUUAGUUAUAUAGAUGUAUACUGUACGUGUCUCUCCGUUCCGUGAGUUGAGUUUGGAUGUUCGGCCGCAAAAAAUGAGUUGGGUUUGGUUGUUCUAGUUGUCAGGUCGGCAUGCACCAACUGUUGCUGACGCGUGUGAUGGAGAUCCACCACCUUCUCACUAUGGAGUACAGACAGAUCUAUGUGAGGUAAGCAAAUAACAUCUUCCUGCUAUGUCAUUCACUAAUGCAAUUUGUUUGCUUAAAGGAAUAUUCAAAGUUUUUUAGUUAAAAUGAUUCAUGAGAUUUGCAUAACACAUAAUUUUGAUUUUUGAGAUUUAAAAUCAAUAGAAGUGAUCCAUGAGAUUGUUCACCAUCCAUUAUUUUAGUUCUUCCGUUAAAAAACUCCGUUAAGUUAAGGAUACAAUACAUAACUUUGGUCCCGGAGAUUUGCAUAACACAUAAUUUUGAUCCCUGAGAUUUGCAUAACACAUAACUUUAGUCCAUGAAAUUGUUCAUCAUCCAUCAUUUUGAUCAUUUCAUUAAAAAACUCAGGGAUCACUUAAAUGAGUUUUUUAAUGGAAUGACCAAAAUAAUGGAUGUUGGACAAUCUCAUGGACCACUUCUAUUGAAUCUCAGAGACCAAAGUUAUGUGUUAUGAAAAUUUUAGGGACCAUUUUGGCUAAAAAGCCUCAAUUUAAUAGAAGAGAAAUGCGAAGGAGAUUUUUUAUUAAUUCUCUAUACCUUACAGUUUAACGUCAAUUCUCGUGUCAAUAUUGUAAAUAUUGUGUCAGAAAUAUUAAGCAGCAAAAAAUUCAAAAAUAAUCUCAAGAGAGUCUUCUUAAUAUUUCUCAUAAAUAAAAAAAGGUACUUUCGAAACAGUAAGGGAAAUACUAUUAUGAUAUAUAUAUAUAUAUAUAUAUAUAUAUAUGAGAUAAGAUUAAGGGACAAAUAUUUUUACAAAUACUUUUACAUUCUUUUUAAGCCUUUUGAUUACAUAACAUCCAAUGGUUCUUAUUUAUUCAUUAAAUGACAUGGAUGCUUACGUGGAUUUUAACUAAUAUUAAGGAUAAAAUAAAACAAAACAAAAAACAAAAAAUCUAAAAAAUAUAAAAUAUAAAAGUUAGAUUUUAUGGCUUUUCAGUUUUUUUUCUUCUUUAAUGUUAGUUAAAAUCCACAUAAGCAUUCAUGUCAUUUGAUGAAUAAAUAAGAGCCCUUGAAUGUCAUGUGAUCUAAGGGCUUAAAAAGAGUGUAAAAAUAUUUGUCAAAUAUAUAUAUAGGGGUGCACACACCCCUUUUUACUUCUCACACACCCCUUAUUAAUUUCUGUCCGUUGAUCUUCUUUAAUUCAUCCGAUCCGAUGUCUGAAAACUAAAAAAGUGUGGGAGAAGUAAAAAGGAGUGUGUGGAUAGCACACCCCUAUAUAUAUAUAUAUACACGCCCUUUAUGCAAAGGGAUUUUCAUUUUUUUUUAAAAGGAGGAUUAGGUGUGGGGCCCACAUCACAUCGAACUUUAACUAUCUGAACCGUCUAUUUUGUAAGUCUCAUUUGCCUAUUUAAUUAUCAAGAUAAAAUUUCAUUGUUUCUUAUAUAAAAAGUAUUCAUUAAUUUCUUUAAACUCAAUUAGAUGUCUUAAACAUUUCUGAUUUGAUUAAUAUUUUGCAAGGAUGAUCUAUGAGGUGCAACUUGAAAAUAGACGGUUGGAAUCGUUAAAGUUUGACGUGAUGUGGACCUUACAACUAAUCCCUAUUUUUAUAAAAAAAUGAGAAUCCCUUCCCUUAAAGGUUUCCUGUAUAUAUAUAACAACGUAAUUUCAUUUGAAUUAGAUGUCAUUUGACAGUUUUGUUUUGAUAAGAGGAAACAUACGGCUGAAAAUAUUGAAUUCAAUUUACAUAGUUUUGUUUUUAAUUUUGAAAGCUUAAGAAAAAGUUGAAUAAAAACGGACUGUGUAUGAUUUUAGAGACGUAUCUUUCUUUCCGUCUCAAUUUUUUUUCACACAAAUUGUAGCAUGCAUAGUAAUAUGUGGAACUGUAAUCAGUUAACAAUUUAAUUACGUAAUUGUUUUAUUUUGCAUGUGAUGAAAUUUGAAUUUAAAACGUCUUGUAUAAUGAAUCAAUAAUCAAUCAAUUAAAGUUUCCAAAAAAAAAAGCAAUCAAUUAAUUAAACAAAUGAAUGUCCCAAUAUCAAUAAUAUUGGCCCGGCAGUAGAGAGUUGGCAAAAGAAAUGGACAACAAAAAGUAGAAAAAUGAGUUGGCAGAAGAAACACGUAUCAAUGCGUUGGCAUCGUCAUCGGUGACAAAUGACAGUGAAGUGUUUGGUGGGAUUUGAAUUCUUAAAAAUUAUUUAAAUUUUUUUUAUUUAAAAUUAAACUAAAAUAGUACCUAACAAAAAUCGAGCGCACAAUCUAUGGUAAACAGUUAGGAUGUGAGAGUUCUUAAGAUCCUCACAAAGAGGAUCAUGAGAGGAUCCAUCAUGAGGAAGAAACAAAAUGAAAACGGAAUGACGUGGACAUUGACGAUUAAAUUAUUACCUAAAUAAUAAUUAAUAUGUUUAUUUUUUAUAAGAGACACGUCAUUUAAUUUAAAAUUUUAGUCUCCAAAACCUUACCGACAAAAAAAUAAUUAGGCUUUUCUAUUCCAAAGAAAAAAAAAAGAAAAUAAUUGGGGUAGCCCAUACUUUAUCGUAGUCAGAAUCUAAUUACUAUGACACGCUAAUCAGAUCUGUCAGCGGGAUAUUAUGAAUGAGGUAAUCAAAGUGACAUCACAAUAUCAAAAGUCAUUCCCUACCAUCUCCACGAUGUAAGCCAAAAUAAAAGAAAAACAGAGACAGAGAAAUGAGACCAAAAAAAUAGAGGAUGUGAUCCUUUUGGUUUAAACCAUUGUGCGAAGAGGAACGAUAUGGAUAACAAAAUUCGAUUUCAUGCUUUGUCAAUCUUAUCGACAUAUAGAGUAAAAAAAAUUUAUAUUUUUAUUUUAUUAACGAAUGACGUCACUAUAACAGUAUACGAUGCAUAUUUUCUUAUUCAAUCGCUUAUAAGCAUCAAAUUGUGAGGAAUGAGGAUCAAUCAGCAAAGGCCAGACUCAGAGCAAUUGCAUGUACAUAUGCCGACACGAUUGAUCCUAACACUGCCCUAGUUGUAUAUUGGUUCGUUGGGGUAUUAGUACAUUCAAAAGUUUUCAAGCCAACUUUAAAGCAAAAAAAUCAUAGGUUUUCUUUUCGGCCACAAGAUCAGAGAUUAUUAGGUAAAAGAAAAAAGAAACGUUAGGUAACACCAAACACAAUGGAUGCACAGAAUUUGGUAAUCCGUUACUUACGUAUUAGUUGUAUAGUUUUAGCAUAAUUUGAUCGAUCAACAGAACUUCCAACUGAGCAGAUAGAUCUAAAACAAUAUGGAAAGAGGACGUGGGACGGAGGAAGAGAGCCUCGAUAGCUAAAAUUCAAGUACAAAAAUCCGCAAGUAAUGUGAAUCGAACAUCUGUUCCAAUGAAAAUAUUAUCUUCGAGAUACAAUACAAAGCGAAAGCAAUUUUCUCUGGAAACAUCGACCUGUGUCAAGAAAGCAAUUUACACCCCGCAAUCUCAUUGGGAUGCACUAAAGAGAGCUUUACUGAUGAUGCCAGUGGCCUCAAUGUAGCGAUCCAUACAUCUAGAGAUGCAGCUACUCUCACUCCCACCUAUGCUUGUUCCCGGUUUUGUGAUGCACUUAUCAAAGCAUUUUGACCUCAGGGUCUGAAAAAUGGAAAACGAUUUGGGAGAAGAAAAGUCAGUGAAAUAAAAGAGGUACUAGCGUAUAGAAAAACACUAAGAACAUGUAGUUUAUUUGGUAUUCAAUACCGUGACAUAUAACACUGCCUGUAAAUUUGGUACAGAAAACAUAUGAUGGAGUGACAAUGUUUUAAGACCUUGAAAGGUCCUCAUCUCUAAGCAUAUGCAUACACAUGGAGAUAUACGAAACACUCACCAACCAUCACAUUCAUCUAAGCUAUCUAUGUAGGAACACAUUCACAUGCAGUUUGGUAGGGGAUUUGCCCACAACUGAGAUUGCAAGUAAAUACAUAGUUCACGUCCAACAUUGGGGAACUUUUCCUACAGUAACUUCCCAAGAAUAUGUAACUCAUAUUUAAUCAUAUGACGCCUCAGGAACAUAUGCGUACAUGUACGCUGCACAUGUGUGUGUCUUAAUUAGCUCAUAGCCUAGGCUUGGAAAACACAAGGAAAAUCAGAGGGGAAAAGAAAUAUAGGCACGAUGAGCAGCAUUUGCUAUUGAACAAUACUUGGAUACUUAAAGGAGGAGUAGGAGUUCCUAAUCAAAAUUGUUUGUUGCCGAUUCAUGAACUUCGUGUCUAUAAUAAGAACCAUUCAUAUUAUAAAUCACUCUAUAUAGAUCACCGACGAAAAAAAUCAAUUAAAAUUAAGAUCAUUUAAUCAUAGAAUUGGAUAAAAACAGAUGAAUAUAAUUGGUAAAAGCAUUAAACUGUCUAUGUAUUUGCUACAAUAUACAUUGACUCAACAACCUUAGUUUUAAUUCAGUUUUUUGCAAAGAUAAUCUUUACAAAGUGAUUCAUAAUGUGAACGUUUCCGAUCACAAGCACAAAGCUCUGUAAUUCGAACACGAAGAGUUUUGAGUAGGAGUUCCUACUCAUUCUUGAAUAGCCAAACAAUAACCAACCUAUGUUUGGAUAAGGGGAUUUCAAAAUACCAAGGAACUUUAGAAUAAAUUGUUAAAAAGAACUACAAGAGGACUACCGAUGAACUAAUCAAGCACUAAAAUGCUACUACUAAAACACCACAAAGAAACUAAACAAAGGACUUUCAAUGGAACUUUGAAAGUUCUACAGCGUAUUGCAUGGUCAUUAACAAUUUUUUUUAAUGCAUUCCUAACAAAUUUAGAUUAAGUCCCUCGUUCAAACAUAGGGUGUCCCUAUACCACGCAUCAAACAAAUAGCCAGACAACCCCGAAGAAACUCAAGAGGAUAAACGAGCAAUGCCGUUGUGUUUCAAUCCAUUGAACAACGAAUUCUGUUCUAGCAAAAGAGUCCCCUUCGCCAUGUAAAAAUAAAAUUGGAAACAACCAAAUUUCCAACACAUAGGAAUCCGAAGAAAAGAUAGAUGGGUUUCUAUUUCAUUCAUCAAAAUACUUUUACUUCAAUUACAACAAAUCCACACGGCAGCAAAGGAUUAAAGGAACACUAUUUUUAAUCCUUAAUACCUCCAAAAGUUCCAUUAAAGAUUCACAAGUUCACUCAUAAACGCAACAAAGAUGAAUAUGUAUUCGCGUACUCAGAUCAUCAAACCAACAAACAAAAAGAAGGGCAGCCAUUCAACUGCAAGUCCUAAACAGAGAUCCACGAACAACUAGCAUCAAAAGAACAACACUUUAUACCUUAAUGCCUCUACAUUUGCAGUUUUAAACUGAUAUUACGAAUUGCGUACCCCAAUCAAAUUACACAUCAAACAAAAGAAGGUAAGCAUUCUUAAACAAUCACAAAACAAGUGAACAACAUAAUCAAUUAAUUUGUACCUCAACUCAAAGAUUAAAUCUUUACAAAUAAACCCAAUACAAAACAUAAUGAUUUAAACUUAAAAACCCCCAUAAAUCGAAGAAAUAGAGAGAGAAGUACCUCAAGGAACUCCUCGGCAUAAGCCUGAGCAAGCUGGUUCUUAAGCUGGUCCUUGAAGGCGUCAGGGUUGAAUUGGCCUGAAGAUCCGCCUGACGGUGAUGAAAACGAGUCCAUAUCUGACUGAUUGUUCUGCUCUCGCCUCCGCAACCCACAGAGACAGGCACCUCUGUACAAAUCCCCUCUUCUAAAACCCUACACAACCCAACCCCCCUAUUCGGUGUUAUUUCUAUUUGCCUCUGUUUCGACAGAUUUUGGAGUUUGGGCCCAAAAUAUGCUUUUCGGAAAUCUGAUUGGUUCAAGGCCUAAUCUUUCUACCUUCGGCCCUAUUGGGUUUGAAUGUUUAUUUUAGCCCUCUAAGGUCCAUUGUUAAGUUUUCAUUUAGUGGGUCGAAACCCGAAAGUCUAUUGAUAGAAAAUUUGAAUUCGGAACGUAAUUCUCUCCGGAUCCUCUUUGUGAGGAUCCCGGAAAUUCAUUAAUAGUAUUCACUCAUCGUAUAUCGUGCGGUAAAAAAUUAUUUUAAAAUUUUUAUUUACAAUUGAACACAAAUAAUACCUGACGAAAACUGACAGCACAAUUUAUGAUAAACGGAUAAGAUUAAAGAAUACUCUGAAUCCUCACAAAGAGGAUCCAUAGAGGAUCCUCAUUCGGUUGAAGAGACAUACUUUAACCACUGGAGCAAUCAUCGAAAGUCUAUUUCGUUGUUGGGACAACUUAAAAUGCAAGAUGAUAUAAUGUUGUAUUAUUAUCAAGUCAUGUCAUUGGUGAGGAUCCAAGUGGCAUCCAAGAGAAGCAUCUUGAAUAAUUAAUCGUAGGAUUCUCCCUUCUAUUGACAAAUGAUUUUUAUGAUGAAUGCUCACAUUUUGAUACGUCUUAUUUUUAUUGGCUUUCAAUCAUUAUAAAUCUGCAAACUACAAAAUAUGGUUGGAAUAGUUUUGCAAGGAGUUCCAAAUGUCAUUUUAGCGGAAAAUUAACAUAAACUAGAGCAUGAUUGAAAUGCUUUUAUAAGAUCCGGGGAAGCAUCAAUUCUUUCUUUUUUAGCUUAUGCGGGGGUGUAUUCAAUUGAGAUCUUUAAAGAUUUUAAUGAUUUAUAAAUUCAUGAAUUUUGAUAGAAUUUAAUAAAUUUAUGUCAUAUUUUGUGUGAAUUUCUUCAAAUUUUCAAGGAGAGAGGUAAGAUUUGAGAAUGCAUAAAAUACAUUACGAAAUCUCUCAAACUCCCUUGAAUUCCCCAUCUUUAAAAUCUUUUAAAAUCAAUUUCUAAUUGAAUACACCUAAAAUGUUAUACUCUCCUUUAAAAUCCUAAUUGAAUAUACACCUAAAGUUUCAGAUAAUCACUAAAAAUCCCGAUUAAAUACACCUAGAUUUUGUAAAGAAAAAGACCUAAAAUGUUAUAUCUCAAAAUCUAAUUCUAUUAAGUUGAAUUCCACACCUCAGUUUUUUAGAUUUUUUUAAUUACAGACACAAUUGGGUCAUUAGUACUACAGUCAACUGGCCUUCACUUGUAACUGAGAGGAUAGUAGGUCUUAGACUGGUAUUACUUGUCUAUUGUAAACGGGACAUCCAUCUUAGGUUUGACUCCCCUAAUAGAUACACCCCCAUGAACUUUGACAAUGUUGUUGAUCAAUUCCAUAAUGAGUACUGUUUACCCACUCCAGCUUCAGAAAGAUUGAAGGAUUGAAGCUAAGGAUGAAAAUUUUCAAGUAUUUUACUCUAUCAGCUUAUUGUAUUACUUAACUUAAAUCUCCACUUCCCAUUAUGCUUGUAUCAAAAUAAUUUAUAGACACUAGUGGAAGUUUGAGACAAAAGAAAACUUGGGCUUUAGGCUUGUAAUUCAAUCCCAAACUUGGGCUUUAGGCUUGUAAUUGUCAGCCCGCUAUAAUGGGUUUGAUAUUUUGUUUCGACGCAUCCCAAACUGUCAUUUUCGUAAACCCUGACACUAUACGCCGAGACGUCAAAACCUAAACACGAUCUAAUCCAUUAUUUAAGCCCCCAAAUUAAGCAUUCAGAAAAUUAUUUGCAGCUAAAUUAGUACUUGUAUAUAUCGUGCUUGAUUACUACUUCUGCUUAUAUGGUUAACAAAUCACUUCAAAUCUGUUUUGGCCCACAAAAAAGAAAAAGGAAAAAGAUGAUCCCGUAUCUGCAAUGUAAAUUAGGAUUGCUGCUCGAUCAACCUUUCGGUCUUUCUGUCUGUUUAACCAUUUCGAGCUGUAUUUAGAUGCAAAAAAAUUGAUAGCACAUUACUUUACUACUUCCUUUAAGAUGAAGUUGCAGAUGAAUCAUGCAUGUAAGACAUGUAUAAGACAUGUAAGAGAGAGAGAGAGAAAGAGAGAGAGAAAGAGAGAGAGAGAUAUAUAAAGAGAGAGAACGAGAGUAGAGCAGAGAGAGAGAGAGAGAGAGAGGAGGAAGAUGCAUCAUGUAAGACAUGAUAGCUGCUAACGGGAGGGUAGAGCGAGCUUGGCCUGCUUAACUGGGUGGUCCAAUAUUCAAGUUUCUGAGAGGCAUGGUCCUAUAAAUCUAUCACUCUACAACAACAUGCAUCAAAUACUACUAGCUCAUGAUAAUUACACAGUUGCUAUAUAAUUGCAUUUUCUUUUCAUCAGUCCAUGCAUAUGCAUACAGUUAAUACAAAUAUAUAUACUAAAUGAGAAUAAAGAGUAUUAAACUGGCCGGUGAGGAUAGGAUAAGACGAGAGAGAUGAGAGGAUGUAAGGUAAAAAAGUCUCACACUGAUGAAAUGAGAAACUUUUCAAGAGUUUAUAAGAAGUUAAGCUACUCUUCGUAUUGCUAAUUGGUUUAAUGGUGGAACCUUAACUUUCUUUAUACUGUCAUAACAGGUUGGCUCACUUAUG
rnacentral:lncRNA from 1 species